AUAAACAAGGUAGACGUAAUAUCAUAAAUCACAAGUGAAGUAAGUGUUAUAGAACGAAAUCUGAAGAGAGGUCUCUGAAAUUAUCCUAACAAUUACAAUCCAAGCACUUUAUUUAUAUAGGAUUUAAAUUUAUAGAUAUUGAUAAUAUAUAAAUAUUUAUCUUAUGUAUAACUACAUGUUAAGUAACAUAAUUAUAGAAAUAAAUUUUAUAUCGAACUUUUUAAUUAUAUGUGAUAUUAAAAUGAAUUUAUAUUUUUCACACUAAUAAUGGAAAUAAUUAUAUAAAAUAUAUCAGGUCAUAAAUUUGAUUAUAAUAACGAGUACAUCUACUUAUUAUAAGGUCUAAUAUGCCACUUGUGUGAAAAAUGCUAUAAUCAGUUAAAUAAUAAAUGUUAUUACUAUUAUCUACCAAUGUAUAUAACUGAAAAACUCUAUCAAAAUCAGUGAUUAGAGAUUUAAGUAUUACCGUUAUUAUAUUUAUUUUUUAUUAUUAUAAAUAAAAUUCAUAAAUUUUUAAUUUAGUUAUAUUUUUAUAAUUUUUAAAAUUAUAUUUAUUUAUUAUAAAAAAUAACUUAAUUACUUUAUUACAAGAUAAUUACUAAUCUAACUUGCUUUAUUAAAAAUAUAUUUACGUAUAUAAGUUUAACUCUUAAAAUUUCUAUUUCAAAUUCGAAAAAGUUUCAAAGUGGUUAAGUAUAACAUGAUAGGGACAUAUUAUUCUCUUUGUCUAAAAUUAAUUCUGGUGAUUUUUAAAAAUAAUUAUUUUAUAUUAUUUAUCAUUUCAAAAAAUUUAGAUACAAUUAUAUCAUUUUAUGCUUAUAGCUACGUAUGAUGUUGUUUUCAUUCAAAUCAGUGAAAAAUAAAAUAAUUUCAAAAUCCCUCCUAAUUAAUAUAUUUUAAAGAUAUAUAUAUAUAAUUAUGAUAAAUAAUUUAACGUCUGAGUUGAACAUAUGAUAAUUAUGAUUCUGAUUUUUUGGUGCAAAAUAAUUAAAAAAUUAAAAGAAUUUGCAAAAGGAUAUUUUUGGCCCCACAUACUUUUAAGGAUAUGUUAAUCAUUAUCAUUAAGGUUUAAUUAUCAUUAUUGCUUCAAGUACUUAACCAAAAUAUACAAUCUUAGACCUAGACCACAAUGGUAUACUAUAUUUUAUAUGCUUAGUAUUCUUUAUUAUAAUACUGACACUUUUCGUUUUUUGAGAGUCAAACAAUCAAAGUUCAAUUAAAAAUUUGUGCACGAAAUCUUUAAUUUUUUUGAAAUAAAAUUUAUUAUUUAUAAACUUCGUAAUUAAAGUCCGAUCUCUAUUUUAAGAUUUCAUUAGUAAGGUAUUUAAUUAAAGAAUAUUUUCAAUCGUCAAUACUAUUAUACGAUCGUGUGUGACCUAAUGGUUCGUGUAUGUUUAGUAUUCAUGUAAUUCAACAAAAUUUAACAUAUCAAAUAAAUGACUUUUAAAAACUCAAUUACAAACAUUUGAUUAAAUGACUUUUACAAAAAAAUAAAAAAUUAUAAAAUUCAAAUUCUGAAUAUAUUAAUUUAGCUGCAGUUUAAUUAGAACCUCAUCAGCUAAAGUUUAUCUAUUUAGCAUAUAAUAUAUGUAGUGCAAGUUUGACCAAAUUAAAUAUAAAAUCUCAUGAUUAGAGAAGGGGAUGCUUUGUGUUUUUUUUAAUUACCUUAGAUAUAUAUAUGUGGAAAAGUGUUUGUUUGAUGUCAUUAAUUUAUUAAUCUAAUUAUAGGGAUUAGAUAGUAUCUUAAAGUGUCUUUCUCAAUAAGUAUCUUGUCACAAUCUAAUAGUAUAAGAUUUAACAAAUUAAAGAAUCAUAAGUGUGUUAUUAUAUUCUAGUGUGUUAGGUAAUACUAGAAAUUAAAGAGAUAUUGAUCAUAAUCAAAUCAAUAUUCAAUCUCAAAGAAUAUAACAACAAUUAUAUACUUAGAGUAAUUUUAUAACUUAGGUCAGAAGAAGAUAUAGUCCGAAGAGAAGAUGAUAUAUGCAAAUUAUGCGCAAUCACUUUAUAGAAAUUUGUAUUUUUAAUAAAUUUUUCUGUUUUAAAAAAACUGAAAUGAGAACGACAAGAAAAUAAUAAGAUGAAAUUAAGCAAAACAAGUGAUGUAAUAAAAAUCGAAGAUUAAGAUAUUACGUGAAUACUAACUAAUGUUAUUAAUCAGUUUCAACUUUAUAUAGAGUAUUAAUUAAAUAUUAAUAAUAAACAACUUUACUUAUUAACAACUUUUUUACAUUGUUUGAAUAGGAUUAAUUUCUUUGAUUAUCACUUUAUUUAAAAAGUCAAAGAAAUACACUAUUAAAUAUCCCCUCUAAAAAAAAGAGUGCUUAAUUAGCUUAGACAAUUAGCUCAACUAAAUAAAACAAACAUCCAAAAAUAUCCUUACACACUAAUUAUUAAUUAUAAUCAUGCACAUCUUAAUUAUUCCAACUAAUUAAUAAGUUUAAUUUAUUAAGCAUUGAGCUUGUAAACAUUCUUAAAGUCAAUUAAUCCACCUAAUCACAUCUAAUUAACUCAAAUUAAUAUAGUACUUAAAACAAUUCUAUACUAUAUACAAUGUCAACUUAAAAAAAUAUUUUCUUGUAAAUUAUUCCAUAAUUACUUGUAUAUAAGUAUAUAUGAGAUAAACUUUAAAGAGAAUAAAUAAUGGUUGACAUUACUAUAUACUAUUAAAAAAAAAAAUCAGAUCUGCAAUAAUAAUAAUAAUUUGUUUAUGUGGAAUCAUCCAACACCACAAGAUUAAAACUAAAUACUCAUGGAAUCAGACAAAAAUAAAAUUAUUAUGAAAAAAAAUAAAUUAAUUUAUUGAAACUAUAAGGAACACUAAUUUCUUUUUUUGUAGCCUUAAGUUAUGGCACAAAUCUUUUUUGGUAGAUAUAGGACCAAUAACAACAUGACAUUUAUUGAAAUAAAAAAACUUAAUAUAAAUGAUGAUAAGAUAUCAGAAUCAUACUAAUUUGACUUUGGUUGGAUAUUAGAACAAAGGUUCUCUCAUGAGAUUUUAUGUUUGUAUUUAUAAUAUAUAUUUAUAGAGUAAUUCUUAAAAAUAUUAUUAAUAUAUUUUAACAUGGUAUUAGUAUCAACGUAUUAUUAUUAUUAUUAUUAAUAAUAGUCUAAUAAAUAAUUUGAUUGCGUAAUAUAUAUAUAUAUAUAUAUAUAUAUAUAUAUAUAUAUAUAUAUAUAUAUAAAGAGUGUUUUGCAACAAUGAUAAAACUGUUUCUAUAACUUAUAGUUUACAUAUUUGUGUCGUCGAAGCAAUAACUAAGACUUGUAUAAGCAUUAGAUUAGAAUGUCUAUAUGCGAUCCUUCGUCAAAUAUUAUUUACAUGAAAUUUUAUUUAAUUUAGACUUGAAAUUGAUGAUAUACUUUUAAAAACAAUUUAGUUUAUUUUCUUUUUUCUAGUUCGACACACAUUUCCACGAUUAUUUUUUUUUUACUUUAUAAAAUUUGCCAUGUGUUUGGUGAACUACUUAUUAUAUAUUUCAUAUAUAAUGUAUAUAUAUAUAUAAAAAAAGAUCUCUUUUUACUUAUUAAUGUAUAUCAAAAAAAAAUCUCUUUUGGUCUUUGGACACAAUCAUUAUUGUGAAUCUAGUGACAAAAAUCAACUAUUCCCUAGAAAUCCUUUUUAGUGUGGUUCCCUCUUUGCUAUGUAUGAAAAAUAAGCAAGAUGAGAGGCUUGGUGAGAUUUAGUGGCGCGUUCGAAUUUUUUUGAGUAAUUUCAUUUCGUAUAUCGAUAUUAUGUUAGAUAAAUGGAUCCCGCAUAACAUCAUUUGGAGUAAGACAUGUGCGUUUUUUGAUGAUCAGAUCGCAUGAAUUUCAAAUUAAUUGUAGACAAAAAUAAUCACCAUUACUGAAAAUGAAAAACGAAUUUAGAAUAAAACUUGUAAAGUUUAACUAAAACCAUUGCUAUAUAUAAGAUCAUUCUUUUCAGUAUUACAUCCUCAUUCUUGUAGUCCAUCUUUGUUUUUUUCAUCCUCCAACCCCCCCCCCCCCACUCCCUUUUUUAAAAAAAAUUAUUAUUAUUAUCAUUGUUAUUGUUUAUAUAUGUGUAUGUCGAUUCUUUUAAUACUUUUGAUACUUUAUAUUAUUUUCAUGUUAGUUAGAAUACAUUAAUUGACAACAAGAAAAAAACAAACAUCCUACUUGAACAAGAAGAUCAAUUCUUGCAUAUAUUGUUUGUGUAAAUGUAAACCACCAAAGUCUAUAUGUAGUUGUUGAAAAAUAAGUUCCUUUAUAUAACAAAUGUCGACAUGUUUUUAAAGAUGAGCGAUAAAUACAACACAUGAAUUUUUACGUAUAUAACACCAUUAAAUUUUUAUACACAUCAAAAAUUUAUUCGAUCUCAUGUACUCAUACUUUAAUAAUAUAUUUAUAAAAUUAUAUUAAUAUAUUGCGUCCGAUAAUAUAUAUAUAUAUGUCCACUAAUGUGGGAGCCUCACAGCCGCGCAAGCUGAAAGCAAAAUAAUCAUAUGGACGGCUCUUUUAUAAUAUGCAUUGGAACUAGAGAAAUUAUUAGGUAGCAACUAGCACUUGGAGAAUCAAGCCACAUGCACUCAAAAAUAUGAUUAUAAUACCACUUGCGAUUACGAUGACUCUAUAGAUACAGAAUUAGUUUAAUUUUUAUUUUUGAUUUUUUAGAGAUUACGAAACUAUUUUUUUUGGUUUUGUUUUUUUCAAUCAGAGUUUGGAGUUCAAAUUGGAGCCCCGACUGAUUCCAGAGGGAAGUGCACUCUCUCUUUUGUGUCGUCGAAUGAAGGAUAAGAGCAAUCGGCCGAAUGAUUGUUAUUCCACUUACGGUUACAGAUGCCCCUGUCGAAGCAAAACAAGAACUAAUACUCCAAUUCAAUCUAAACACGAAAUUCAUAUUUUUAUAUACGAAAUUACUUCCCCUGUUCUUUAAACUUUUUUUCGAAAUGAGAAUCAUAAACUUUUUCAUUGCCCACACAAGGGAAUUCAUUUGCCUUCGAUCUGACUUUCUAAAAUGAAAUUUCGAGAAGGUGGAGUUCAGUAACACAGUUCAAUAACCGUCAAGUGGAAAAACACUCUUUUCUUACACUAAUUCUUAUAUAAGCAAUUUACAGAACGGACUACAGGGCUACAAUAUCCCGUACACACUCUUUUUAAGUUUGAAAUCCACAACAACAUUAUGAAUUUCAAAAUUAUCACAAUAUCCUAAAUAUUUAACUUACUCAAAUACUAGUAAUCGUUUUUCCUAACAAUCAAAAAGUGGCUAGGCCUUGCAAUGUUUACCUUGUUCAUUUUGUGGCCCAAAAUUAAAUAAUUGCGGCCCAAAACAUUGUUCAUAUACCUGAUCCCCAAUUUUAAGGCCCAUUUACACAGCCCAAUGGCCCAUUUAAUAAAACGCCAUAGUUUCUAGAACAUAAUAGAAUUGUUUUAGCUCGAUUUUUUUUUCUUCACUCACUUUGACAAACCCUAGCAGUGUAGCUGAUCGCCGAGCAGUUUUCCGGUUCAUCUUGCCGGAGAAGUUGAAGCCGUUGGCUGGUUUGUUCGAUUUUCUAUUUAUCUAUAUGUACACACUUAAAAUAUGUUCUGUUCUAUUUUCUGUUCUGUUGAAACUGAGAGUGAAAUCAUAUAAUCGACAUUUUACAUGCUUUUCUUAGAGAAAUUGUUACUACAUGAUGAAAUGUGUAGUAUCAUUGGAACUCGCACCAGCUGAUUUUUGAAUUAUCAUGAUAAUACUUAGAAUUGAUGAAUCAUUUUUGUAGUGUUCCUUUUGGGAGGUUAGAAAUUUGUUUUUUCCUCAAAAAGUGCUUAUUUAAAAAAACAAAGUGUUGUUUGGAUAUCGGUAGCUGGUUUGGAAGUGAAUUAUGCUAAUUCGGCUCAAGUAAUAACACGCAUAGUAGCUGGUUAGAAGAUAAGUAGUUCAUGUAUAAGAUCAGUAGGAUGUUCGAUUUGCAAUUUUAAAACCCGCUUAACUAAUAUAGUUGUAAGUUAUGUGGAAAUAUAGCAUAUAAUUAUAUGCAGGAUAGGUGGAUAACUAAUACAUACAUUACGAAUUUGCGUAGCUAAUAUCUGCUAAAUUUAUACAUAAAUUCCCUACCUUCGUAAUUCUAACCAGCUACAUUAUCCUUCCUACCAUGUAUAUGGAAUAGCUUAUUCCAUCACUAUGGUACAAAUGGUGUGAUAAGUUAUCCCAAACAUGGCAACCAAACAAGACACCAAAUUUUAUCCCAGGACUAUCUUUUCUUUAUCCUAGGACUAUUUAUUUUUAUCCCUCACAAGAAAUGAUCCCUUGUGUUUGACAAGAUUUUGGAAGAUAAUAAGUACUUUUGGGGAAUUAAAGUUGAUUUUCUGAAGUUAAAAGUCGUAGCUUGUGCCCAAAAGUACCUUUUUUUUUUAAAAAAAAAAAUUGGGAUAAAUUCCCCUUUAAGCACUUUUUAAAGCUCGGUGAAACAUUAAUUGCAGCUCAAUUGUUUUUUUAAAGAAUUUAUUGGCCAAACACAAACGGGCUCUCACAAAAAAAGGUACUUUCUUAAAAAGCACUUUUUAAGUAACCUACUUUUCAAAAUAAGCUGAUUUUAGAAGCUUGGCCAGGUAGACAUGUGUUUUAGGAUGUCUUAGCUAGUUUGUGGUCCUAACACAUUUUAGCUCCAAGUCAGGUGUUUAACUCCAAAUCAUCUAUGGAUUCCAAUGAAAAUGGGCUUCCUCAGAUCACUCCUUGUGAUACUGGUGGUGAUAAUGAAAUAGCUGGUGUGGAUAACGGAGAAGAAGAACAUGGCUCGAGCAAGAGAAGAUCAAGCUCUAAGGUGUGAUGGAUCUUUUGAAAGUUUCUUUUUAAUCAUAAUUAAUACGCAUUCAAGGAGUAGAAGAUAAACAUCUAGACAAUUGUGAAAUUUUGUGACUGCUAUAUGUUAUAAUGAUCUGUUAUUAAUGAACUCGCAAAUUUUCUGGUUACUGUUUUCUGUUUAUGUUAAGGAUACACCAUAAUAUUAGGCUAGACUUGUUAAAGGACACAUUUUAUUUUGGUUUAUGACCCGUGGACAUUUUAAUGUGUAUGCUUCUUCCAUAUAGAGGGUCAAUAAGCGGAGUUAAAAUGGAGCUCCUUCUAUUAUCAGAAGCUCAUCCCUGGCAUCAGUGUGUGGACACUUGAACUUCAAAAUGGCAUGUAUUUUGUCUAUGGUCAAGAUCAUGUAGAUUUCAGAAAUUUUAUGUUUUUAAGAUUAUGUUAUAUGAGAUGAACCAGCUUAGCAAUUGUGAGUCAUCUAAAACCUGUUUAGUUUUAUUAUUCUUACAUUGGAUAAAAUGGGUGUACAUGAUUGUUGGUUGAGGGGUUUCUUCCUAGGAGAACAUCACAUCAUGGAAAUGAAUACUUUAUAGUGCAAACGCAAGGAAAUGGGGUUUUAGUUUUUCAUUCUGCAGGUUAAGCUUUUUAUAGGUCAGUCAAAGCAGGUUCCUUCUGAUUUUAGUGUGAUAUUGGAAUUUAGUCAUAGCAUUUAAUUUCCUGCGAAAGAAAUCAGAGUCGUGUAUUUGGAUAUUACCCUUGUGCAACGACAACCCUUGUCCCGGCCAUUGUAGCACGUGUGUCAGUUGUCACCCAUGGCAUAAGGGGCACGAUGACUUGAGUCUUGAGCAUUCUAAAUACAUGCUUUUCAUUGUUCUAGUAUUUCUUUAUUACUUGCUCCCCUUUAUUGCUUCUGCUUUGAUAAACAUUUCCUAUGAUUUUACAUCUUUCAGCACAGUUCCCGUGAUUAUGAGGGCGAAAGAGAAUCUUCAAGAAGCAGAGACAGAGAGGGGGAUAAAGGACGUGAUAAGGACAGAGGUAGGAGCAGAGACAGAGAUAGAGAUCAGGAAAAAGAUCGUGAUCGUCGCCACAGUUAUCGUAGCGAGAGGCAUAAGACUAGAGGUAGAGAUGAUGAUGCUAACGUUUCUGAUGGUGGUCCUGAGAGCCGGGAGUACUGGUAAUCAUUACUCACUGCAUUACUCACUGCAAUCACUUGUGGUAGAACUGUUGACAUACGUGCCACUGCAUUUUCAGUGUUCUGGAUUACCCACUGUAGUCUGUAUAUUGUCUACUACUGUUCGUAUUAUAUCGUUGUUGUUACUGCUCUUGUUUCUCUAUCCCCUUUUUCGAACUGCUUUGCUAUGCUUUCUAAGCUUAGGAGGGUCUAUCCGGAACAACCUUUGUUCCUCUACGAGGUAAGGGUAAGGUCUGCUUACACUCUACCCUUCCCAGUCUUUUUUGUGGAGUUACGUUAUCUUGUUGCCUUUUCAUUGUUUUGCACUUGUGCUUUUUGCCUUCUUUUUGGUUGAGGACAAGCGGUGCGUAGUGUAUUCAUGUCCAUGUGCUUUUUGUUGGUGCAGGCAGAAAGAUUAUGAUAGAGAGAGGGAUGAGAGGCACAAACAUAGGUCAAAAUCUUAUGAGAAAGAGCGGGAGGAAGGGCAUAGACACAGGUCCAAAUCAUAUGACAAGGAUAGAGAGGAAAGGGAUAGGCACAGAUCAAAAUCCUAUGACAAAGAUCGAGAGGAUAGGCACGGACGCAGAUCUCACUCAAGGGGAACAUCUAGUCGUAGGUCCAGAUCACGUUCUCGAUCACGGUCUCGUUCACGCUCCAAAAGGUUAGUUCUCUGCUGUCCAUGAAAACCUGAUAAUCUAUAGUGCAGGGAGGGAUUGCUCUCUAUUGCAUAGACUGAUAGUUCUCAUUUUUAUUUGGUUAUGUUGAGGAAUGUGACAUAGCAGCAGAGAUUCCUUGAACCCUUUUUCCUUUGGCUAUGGAGAUAAGAUAGUUUUCACUUUUCAAUGCUCCAAUUGUUAUUUCUUAAGUUGCCAAGGAGUAACAUGGUUAUUGAGGGUUCAUAUAAUUGAUGCUAACUUGUUUGACAUUGAGACAUAAUAGUAGUUGUUCUGGGCUUUAUGUGAUUUCAGUUAUGAGUGUAAUUUUGGUUGUAACAGAAAAUCUGAUUGAUGAAGCUAAUGUUAGUUCAUUCAUUGGCGCUGAUCUGCAGAUUAAGCAGAAAUAUCCUCACUCUUAUGAUAGGUAAUUAGUUUCAGAAAUGGGACACACUCCCUUGUUUUUAGGAGUUGGGGGUGUGAGGGUAGAAUGUGUUUUUUAUUCAUAGGAGGACAAUUAAAUGACUUAAGCUCUUGGAGCAUCCAAGGUAUUAUGUUCAAUGAAGUUGGAAUGAAUACAAUGGAAGACCAGGUUUCAAAUCUCAACAGAUGCAGGGAAAAAAAGAAGAAACUAGAAUACUUUUUCAAUUUGUCUAAGCCGUGGUAGGCAUAGUUACCAUUGUAGCAGUGGAAGUUAUUGCUUUGUAGCUUAAAUGAGUUUGAAAAAACUCCGCUGGGAGUGGAAGUUGUGGAUAUGUCCCUACUAAUGGUGAUGGUGGAGAGUUUCAGUUCUCAUUCUUUUCUAGUGCUGUUUUUUCUCUCUUUUUGGUGCUCUUUUAUAUGGGUGGGUUGGGGAAAUAAGUUAGUACUGUCGGUUAUUUUGUUGAAGGGUUUCAAAGCAUUUCUCUAACUGUUCAUACUGAUAUGCUUGUAGCAAAAGGGUCAGUGGGUUUGACAUGGCACCUCCUACUUCUGCUCUGUUAUCUGGUGCUCCUGCUCUUACAGGUACUUGCUUAUUUUCUUAUAUAUUGGCAAUAUUUUGGUAACUGUUAUUUUGUUUUUCUCCUUUGGAUGUAGUGUGGAAAGUUCUUACCAAAAUGCAUGGUUUCAUUUUGGUAUGUCGCUAGAUUGACUGAUUUUAUUUCAGUUGCUCGAUUGUUCACAUUCUAUUUAAUUGCUUACUUGGUUGAAUAACUCCGAAACUGAGAAAAUCUUUGGUUUUUGUUGUCUUUGGUGUUGUUUCUUUGUUUAGUAUGUCUUAUCUUAUGUCCUAAGAAGGCAACGUUGGGCUAGUAGCCCCACUGUGCUGACAAUGGGCGUGAGCCAACCGCUCUAGCUUUUAUGUUCAAGGAAGACAAUAAAAGGUCUCGUUCAUCUUCAACCAGGGAUUUUUUGUUUGGUAGCUUUCAAGUUAUUUCUCCAAAUUAAUUUUGUAACAUUUACUGAAGAAUAAUUUGAGGAAACAUUCAAAAUGUUCUAAUUGUAAUAGCCAAAGUAAAAAAAAAGAAAAUGUCCUCAUUUUUAUCCCUAUAUGUUCAAUGGUCCUUCUCAUCCAUUAACAAAGAAAAUGUCCUCAUUUUUAUCCCUAUGAGAAGCUUCUGCAGGUCUACUCCCUGGCACUGCCCCAGCUAUUCCUGGAAUGCUUCCUAACAUGUUCCCUUUGGCCUCUGGACCGGUAUUUUCUCUCUGUUGGAAAUAUAAUAUAUUUUGUUCAUAAAUUUUUUGAAUGAUUUAAAAUUUAUCUUUGUUUGUGGCAGCUUGGAGCUAUUCCUGUUCUGCCUGUUCAGGCAAUGACUCAGCAGGUAUCAGUUGUCUCUUCAACCACUUCCUUUUGUUCGAUGUUCCAUGAUUAGCUCUCUGUCUGCUUUAAUUGGAUGCUCUAUCAUAUUGAUGAUAUUUCAGAAUGGUCACUUGAAGGUUGAUAUUGUAGCGUUUGUCUGGUCUUUUAUAGAUUAGUGCAACAGAAUCUCUUCUUCCUUCCAUCUUAUCUAAUUUAAGGAAAAUGUUAGAUGUCAUGCUCUCGAAAUUUCACAUUUGGCAUAAAGUGUUGAGUUGUCGGUUAAAUAUCAAUAGACUUGAGGAAAUAUUUUAGUAUGAGAAUUUAUUUGUGAAGUUAUUUGCUGAUCUUCUUAGAGUGCUUAUUUCUCAGGCAACUAGACAUGCAAGGCGAGUUUACGUUGGUGGACUUCCUCCGACUGCAAAUGAACAGGUAAUCUUUUUCAUCCUGUAGUUCAGAUGUUUUGAGCUCCCCUAUAUUUGUGUGGAGUUGGUUGAGUCGGAGUUAUAUUUUAGUCUGCUGGUGGUUUUCAUAUCUAUUUGAUUCAUGCUCCUUCAUUAGUCAUCCCUUCUUCAUAACUCAUUUAAGUCUAUCCAUGUCUCAAUCUCGUAUCAGUUCAAGCAUUUUGACAUUUCCUUAGCAUGGCUGUGGAGGGUUUGGAUGUCUUCCAUUUUCAGGAGUAUUCAAGGAAUAUGCUAGCUACGCGAGUGGAAAACAUUUGUUUAUCAAGAAAAUAAGAUGGAAGAAAUAUUCUUCAUUUUAUACGGGUUCCCUCAAAUUAAAGUUUGACUUAUAUAACAUUAAUCUAUGCUUAUAUUGCAAAUUUUGCAACUUCAUUUUUUCAAUAAAAUGGGAAAUAAUAUCUGGAACUAGCAACCACUUGUUCAAUAAAUUUUGAACUUAAAGGUUACAAAUGAGAUCCUAGAAUGGGUAGAUCUAGACUUCAUCUUGUUUCCUCUGCCCGCAAAACACAGGAACCUUUAGAGACAUAUUUCACUUAUUUGAGCUUGUAGAUACUGUCUACUGAUAAUAUUUGUCACCGUACAGUCAGUGGCUACAUACUUCAAUCAUGUUAUGUCAGCAAUUGGUGGAAACACUGCCGGUCCAGGUUAGUUACAUUGAGUUGUCUUCAUGUCUUGAUGCAACUAUGCACUAUGCACUAUGCACUAUGCAGUACUCAUUAUUGGAUGCUUUAAUUUUUCACUAUGUUUUUUCCAGGUGAUGCAGUCGUCAAUGUUUAUAUAAACCAUGAGAAAAAGUUUGCUUUUGUUGAGAUGAGAUCUGUGGAGGAGGCCAGCAAUGCCAUGGCCUUAGAUGGCAUUAUCUUUGAGGUAAUCGUCCUUCUAGUUUUGGCAUCACUUUAUAUUCUGAAGGCUUCUGAAUCACCUGCAAAGACAGAAUGUGAAAGGUUGAUUUGUUAACAUUUGGGAAUUGAUUUUAUACCCUUUACAUAAGUCUGAGGCAUGUAUUCGGUUGAUUGUUGUGGCUUUGUUUCUUCUGUGUUGGUUCUUUUUUUCUGCUGGCUCCUUUUAGCAUGUAGCAGUUAAUUUUUUUUGCGUAUGUAGGACUUGUUUUUACAAGUACCAGCUUUUGGAAUAAUUACUUUUAGCAUUGUACUAUAUUUAGUUCACAUUGGAGAAAACUCAAAUGUGUGCUUAUAUCGUCUCUUUGGGGCUUUUAGGGAACACAAGUUAAGGUCAGAAGACCGACUGACUAUAAUCCCUCUCUGGCUGCAACUCUUGGUCCGAGCCAACCAAAUCCAAACCUUAACCUUGCUGCAGUUGGAUUGUCACCAGGAUCCACAGGUGGGCUUGAAGGUCCUGACCGUAUCUUUGUGGGAGGCCUGCCUUACUAUUUCACUGAAGCUCAGAUUAGGGAGUUGCUGGAGUCCUUUGGCCCUCUUCGGGGGUUUAAUCUGGUCAAAGAUAAAGAAACUGGAAACUCGAAAGGCUAUGCGUUUUGUGUCUAUGCUGAUGUAUCAGUAACUGAUAUUGCCUGUACAGCUCUUAAUGGUAUCAAGAUGGGUGAUAAAACUCUUACUGUCAGGCGUGCAAGUCAAGGUACUUUACAGCCUAAGCCAGAGCAGGAGAUUGUAUUAAUGCAUGCUCAGCAACAAAUAGCACUGCAGGUAAGGUGUAUCCUUUUGUUACUCAAUUCGUUGAGCUUUUUAAUCCAUUCCUCGUCCUCUUUUUGACAUAAUAUUUUAGGUUGUGAAAUUCUUAUCCUAUUAAGCGGAAAUUGCGACUGAUAAUGUGGCCCUUUGCUUUGCUUGUGUCAUUUGAUUUGCAGAGACUCAUGCUACAACCUGGAGGGCCUCCUACUAAAGUCUUAUGCCUAACACAUGUGGUUAGCCCGGAUGAGCUCAAAGAUGAUGAAGACUAUGAAGAUAUAGUGGAAGAUAUGAGAAUGGAAUGUGGGAAAUUUGGUAAAUACAUUGUCACUUCAGAUGCAUCAAGCUUAUCAAUGUUUUCUUUUACCUUUUGACUAGUCGAGUUUUGUAUUUGAUAGCACUAUACUAAUCUUCGCAAUUCCAGCCAUAAAUAUAAUUUAUUUUCUGGGUUUCUUCUGUUGAUGUGUGACAUCUAUACUAUAUUUUCUUCAAUUUGCAGGCAAUUUAGUGAAUUUAGUCAUCCCACGCCCAAGGUCUGAUGGUGAACCUACACCUGGGGUUGGAAAGGUUAGUAACUUAUUAAUAUGCAUUAUGACGCUUUACGCAGAAUUUAUGAUUCACCAUUCACCAUUUACUUUUUAAAAAAUAUAACCUGUGCAUGGUACUCAACAUGAAAUGUAUCAUAUAUAACCAGAAGUACCAGUUUUCUCAAGAUGCUAUAAUCACUUGGUUUUGUCACAGCAACAACUGAUCAUAAUAUUCCAACAGGUCUUUUUGGAGUAUGCUGAUGUGGAGAGUUCUUCGAGAGCUCAACAAGGAUUGAAUGGCAGAAAAUUCGGAGGAAAUGAAGUUGUUGCUGUCUUUUAUUCAGAGAACAAGUUCUCCGAGGGAGACUAUGAGGGCUAGGGUAGGUAGUAUCUGCUCGACUGGCCUUGAGUGUACUCAGCCAGACAAUGUCUUGUAUUGAAUAGCUAGCUUAUGUAUCAUUAACGUUGAAAAUGUUGGGUCGGUCUGGGGAUUUUAUGAACCAGCUAUAAGACUGGCUGCUACUUAGAUAGCAAUAGUGCAGUUUGCCUAGUCAAAGAGGCAUCGCGUGUUUUGCCCGUGCAUGGCUUUACUUACAGUUAGCCUGGUCUUUGCAUUGUUACUUACUGACAUGGAUAUCGUUAACCAUCUCGAUGUUUUCUCUAUCUAGAACCAGCAAGUUAAUGUGGCUAAUUCAAAUAGUUACCUCAAUUUUAUAGUCGUAGUAGUAGUUGUGAACCUCAUCUAUGUGAAGGGAGUUUCAGUAAUGCUAAAUUUACUUUUAUGUUAAUCGAUUUCUGCAUUUUGUUCCCUCAAAUAAUCGAUUUAGUCUUCCCUUCAUAUGGCUACUUGAUCAAUUCUUUCGAUAUUCAUUUCAUCAUUUUUCGCGUUUGAGUAUCCCUCCAUCGGAAUUGAGUGAGUGAGUUUAUCAAAUGCUCGACAAGUAUCGACAGAGUUAUUAAGUAUAGACUAAUAAGGGCAUCACCAUAUAUUUAUUUGUAGGUAAAGAGUGAUUUUUCUAUAAUUUGCAAAUGAUUUUGUGUAAAUAUUAAUUUUCAUUUUUUAAUGACAAAUUUUUACAGCCCAUAUAAACGUUUUAAGUAGUUUUUCUAGUGUUUGUGUGAGUUAAAAAAAUGUCUAUAUCUUGUGUUUGUAAUGUUUAUAUAAUUGAAAAGUUGAUGCAAAUAGGCUUUAAAUUUAAAUUUAUUUCAUAUUAAUUACGAAAAAAAUAAAUCACACAAUAAUUAAUUAAAAAUAUUAAAUAUAUUAAAAUUAAAUAUACCAAUAUAUAUAUAUAUCAAAUAUAGAUUAUCAUUAUUUUAAUAGACGAAUAUAUAUCCCUUUAUAAAAAAAAAAAACCCAAAAGAGGUUUUAUACGUUUAUAUAUUAGCUCACAUAAACCCUAAUUUGGAGCCACCUCUUUGUUCUUAAACCCUAAAACUUAGAAGAGAGCUCCAAUGGAUUCUGUAAGCAAUAAUGAGAUUGAGAAUUCAGCAAGCUAUGGGAAAAACCAAUCAAAGAUCAAAUUCCAGUAUGAGGAUGAUGAUGAACAAGUAGUACAAGAUGAAGCUGUUACCGAAAGCUCGAAUCUUGAAGUGGAUGAAGAUAUCUCCAUGUGUGACCCCACCACCACCGCCGCCGCCGUGGAUGAGUCGAUGGUCGGCGGUGAUAAGACCAGCGCUGACUAUUAUUUCGACUCAUACUCACAUUUUGGUUAGUGAUUUGUACCAUGUGUAUGUUUUGGUUUAUUUGAAUUUGAGCUAAAAUUUACUUAAAUUGAGCUUCUAUAAGUUGAAAAUCUCUGUUUUUUUAUUCUUGGGAAGCUUUUGAGUAGAAAGGAGAAAAAAUUCCUGUUCUUUGCCAAAAAAAACUGAUUUGCAUAAUUUGUAUCUGUUGAGUUUUGCAUAAAGUAUCGAUUUGGGAACUUCAUUAUCUGUUAUGGAACUCUAGUGUUAUGCUUAAUUUCUUUGUUGGAGAUAAAAAGGUAAUCAAAGAGUUCUGUAGUACUAGCUAAAGUUUCAAAUUUGUUACUUUUAUGCAUCUUUUUCUUAUGGAAGCUAAUUAUCUGCCUUUGUUUUGUUGAUGCUUUUGCAGGUAUUCACGAAGUAAGUAUCCAUCUUUUUGUAUUGUUAUUCUUUUUGGUAUCUUUUCGUGAUACAGUUUUUCUUAAAGAUGAUUUUUUGCGGCGUUCUAAUUGUUAAUUUUUAUGUGGUAACAGGAGAUGUUGAAGGAUGUCGUAAGAACUAAGACUUACCAAAAUGUAAUCUAUAAAAAUUCCUUUCUUUUCAAGGAUAAAGUGGUCCUUGAUGUGGGAGCUGGGACAGGAAUCCUGUCACUCUUUUGUGCAAAAGUUGGUGCCAAACAUGUGUAUGCGGUAUGCGUCUUUGCUUGUUCCAUGUUAUCGUUUUAUACUUUCAUUUUGUGUAGUUUCUUGUUCUUUCAUGAUUGGUAUAUGAUUGCUAUCUUGUGGUGGCUGUUUUGGUGUGCACACAUUAUGAUGCUUUACAUUGAGGUUCUUGUCAAGAUAUUGCGAAGGACUUAGAAUAUAAAUUGAUUUGAAAGCUAUGUGGAACUGGCAGUUGUCUUUGCAAUAUCAUCAAAUAUGGCUGAACCUUAUUUUCAGAUAGAAUGCUCCAGUAUGGCUGACACGGCACAAGAAAUUGUUAAACUCAAUGGAUUUUCUGAUGGUGAGAAGAUGCUAUCAAAUCUCAUGAAUUUUGUGACAGGUAUUCUGAUGUGUGUACUUUACUGAGUCUGUUCUCUUUCUAUCUCAGUUAUAACGGUUAUCAAGGGAAAGGUAGAGGAGAUUGACCUACCCGUUCCACAAGUGGAUAUAAUAAUCUCUGAGUGGAUGGGAUACUUUCUUCUGUACGAGAACAUGUUAGAUACAGUCUUGUAUGCUCGCGACAAGUGGCUGGUAAGUUUCUUUACUUGUUAUGAUGUAUAAUUUGUCACUUGGAUUAAUAAUGAUAUCAGUUCUUUAGAGUCGGUUUUCUGUGCAAGCAAUGACACUGCAUGUAAUGUUGGAUUAGGUUUUGAGUAGUUCAAUGGAUGAAGAGAAAGCACGGACACAUAGAGAUUAAAUUUUGAGUGCUUUUCAUGGAUGAGAAUUAUUGUGUACUACAAUAGAUACUAUCCAUAAAAGAAAAUGUAUAUAGUCAUUGGAAGACACCAUGAAGGGCACCAAAAACUGCUGGCUUAGUGUUUUAAUGACUCAACCCAUGAAUUUAGACUGAUUGCAGGUUGAACUACGAAUUGUAAAGGAGAUACCUGUGGAAAACUGUAUCCAAUUGUAUGUUUACCAUUUGUUCCAAUAAAUGAUGCUACCCAGUACAAACUAUGGAUAAAUAUCCUACUUAAUUUAUCUUCUCAAUGCAUGGGAGUCAUUUUUUUUCCUACCACUUUCGAAUUCUGGUUUUCCUGUUUGGCGCCUAAGCUUGUUUAUUAGAUUAAGAAGCUAAUUUGACUAUCUAUUGCUGGAAUUGUGUGAAUAGUUUUGGAUGUUGAUGAGAGGUUGAAAUUUUUUUUCUAUACGUUUUGAUUAUACUUGAUGGGUCAACUGUAUGUUUUGGAUUAGACCCUUUAAAAGGGAAACGGAAAUGAUGCCACAAAGUAAAAGGUCUGAGCAGGAGGAAGUGUUGGUAGUAAUGAAAUAUGUGUGGAAUGAGGAAGAGGGCCCCUGUCCUUUUCCAAGCUAUGAGACUGUGACUGUCGCAACCUCUUCUAUAUUGAUUAGACUAUGCUUAUUAUUGAAGCUUGGUCACGGGUUUAAAAAAGGCGUGAUUACAUUCUAUCAUUGAAUGCUAAUCUAGAUUUUGCCCCGACAUUUUGUUCCUACUGGUGAAACAUAUUUCAUCUAUCAUCACAUUCACUUGCAGUGAUCAAACCUUCUUGCUGAUCCUCCUCCCUGCCACCUUAAGUCCCUUAAUCUCAUCUGGAAAAAGGAACAAGUCAACAAAGGCAAAGAAAAUAGUGUGUGAUUGACGCCUGCGUGUGUUUGGUUGAAUGUAUUUAUGUUUAGCUGAUAUUAAUAGAGUGCUUCUGUGGUGAUUUAUAUCCUAUCACAGCUGUGAAAUGUGCUAACUUUUCAUCAAUUAAGUCAGCUAUUGGGAAGACGAAUAUAAAUAUAUGGUUUCUUUAGAAAAUGUGAAUGAGUACAUGUAGUUGGUGUUUGGUUUGCCCAGAGGAUUUCCAUAUCAUUGUUUUCGGGAAAUGUUGCAGGUUGGGUAAAGAUUAGCUCGGCAAAAUUAUGCCAAAUGCCUGGCUUUGCUUCCUGUGCUCACUUGUCUUGAAGGUUUUCGUGCUUGGUUGAUGGAUAAGAAAGAGCUUUUUCCUAAUCCUGUCCUCUUUCUUUCCCAUUGCAGGUAAAGGAUGGUGUUGUUCUGCCGGAUAAAGCUUCUCUUUAUUUGACAGCUAUUGAAGAUGCUGAUUACAAAGAAGAUAAGAUCGAAUGUAAGUUUGUUGUUCCUCCAUGUUUUAUACUUUAUGGAUUUUGAUAUUGUACGGUAUUUUCUCUUCAGCAAUUUACUUCGAAUUUAUUUUUUAGUGGCAUCAAGCAGUUUCCAUUUUUCUCUUUUGUUAAUUUUGGCCUCCGUAUUCUACUGCAGUUUGGAAUAGUGUGUAUGGUUUCGACAUGAGCUGCAUACGAAAGCAAGCUAUGAUGGAACCUAUUGUUGACACAGUAGAUCAGAAUCAGAUCGUCACCAACUGCCAGUUACUGAAGGUAAUCAAGUCAAGUUUAUAUGUAGUUGCCUUGGGAUUUACUGAAUAGCCGUACAAUGUGUGAUUUGUCUUUUACUUAACUGAUAAUGAAUGCUUCCCUUCAGACGAUGGACAUUUCGAAGAUGACUUCUGGGGAUGCUUCCUUCACAGCUCCAUUUAAGCUCAUUGCAGAACGUGACGAUUACAUCCAUGCACUUGUAGCAUACUUCGAUGUCUCUUUCACAAAGUGUCACAAGUUGUUGGGCUUCUCAACAGGUCCGCAUUUUUGUCAUUGCAUUUGCUUUUAAUUUUGACAUUAGCCUUUGACAAUAUUCUCCUUCCUUGAAGUUUUUUCCCUUAUAUUAUUCGUUUCUGCUGUGUUAUUGGUCCUUAGAUUGGUCACCUUGUAGUUCUCUUUACUUGCGUUUUUGGGGGAUGAGUACGUAGGAUUCAGAAGAGUUCUCGUAAAUACCUGAACAAUCUGUGCAAUAGAAUAUUAUAAACAAGCUCAUAUAGCUUCGUCGUUUCUGACCAUGGAAAACUAAUGACAUUCAGGGCCCAAAUCUCGAAGCACACAUUGGAAGCAAACAGUUCUCUACCUGGAAGAUGUGAUAACUGUUUGCCACGGGGAAGCUGUAGUUGGAAGCAUGACUGUGGCUCCUAACAAGAAAAAUCCUCGAGAUGUCGAUAUAAUGCUCAAAUACUCUGUAAAUGGUAAACACUGCCGCGUUUCAAGAACUCAGUAUUAUCGGAUGAGAUGAUAUGCAUUACAGAUGAGUGAGUUCCUGCGUUGUCCGCAGCUUUCGGGUGGAUAUACAGGAACUGAUAAACAUUCCUACCUGCUUCCCAAAGGCAGUCAAUGUUAAGUGUACUCUCUUUAUAUCUUCCCAUCAAACUAUGGAUUAUUUUUCUGUCUAUUUGCUUAGUUACUCUACACAACUAAGAAAUUCAUUUGUUGCAUUAUCUGAUGCUUGAGGCCAAAGAGGCAAUUGUAAACUUAUAUUUUUUAUUAUUAUUAUUAUAAUAUGAUAUUUUCUUUGUUUAUGAUACUCUAUUGAAGCUCAUUUAAGUCUUAGUUAUUUUAAUGUUCACAUUUGGUGUUCUGGUGUUUGGUAUUCGUAUUAGAAUUCAAUUAUGCACAUUCCUGAAGAUCAGGACACGUGAAAUAUGUAAAAUUUUGAAAUUUCUAUUUCGUGACACGUGAAAUAUAUAAAAAAAAAUUGAAUUUCUAUUUCGUGACGUUGAAAUGCUGUAAAAUCUUUAGUUCAUUAAAAAGUUGUGACAAUCUUGAAUUUGUGUUUUGUGAUUUCGAAACUUUGAGGAUGUUACUCUACAUUAUUGUUUACUAUGUUGUCACGAAUGAACUCACAAAAUUUGAGAUAAAAUAGAUUUUGGUGGUUAUAUUUCAAAAAAAUUCAUGGACAUAUAACACUCGAAAAGUUGAGAUAAUCUUAAAUUCGAUUUUUCGACCACAAAAUGAAAGUGGUGUUAGUCCUAGGAAGGCAAAGAGUAUCAUCCAGUCUCUUGUCAGAAUAGACCUACAAAAUUUGAAGUCAAACAGAAUUGGUUAUUCAUAUUUUAAAUAAAUCAUGAACUAAUAUUAAUACACGAUAAAUAAUCUUAAAUUUCUAUUUUUUGGUGGUAAAUUUUAAUUCCUAUUUGUCAUUCCAAAAGUUAGAGAUAUUCUAUUAUGAAAAAUUCAUUCAUCAUACAUUCUAUUAUUUUUCCCAAAAACUAUUUCUUUAAAAAAAUUAAACUAAAAUGAGAAUUACUUUUAAUUAAUCUUAAAUACUUUUGGACCUUCAGAGAAUAUUAGCUGGAAAAAAGAAAGAAUAAAGAACCAUUACAACUUACAAUUUAAUAUGCAAACUUUAAAAUAAUUUAAACAAGAAUAAAAUAAAAUACAGAGGGAAUCAAAUCUUUUUAUCAUCAAAGAAUGACAGAAGUUCCCAUUCAUGAGGUUGACUAUGUUAAUUUAAUUAAGUUGGCAUUUGAUUAUAAUAUUUGGGAUUUAAAUUUUAAAUUUUAAUUAAAAAUUAUGAAAUCAAUACAAAAUUUCAAAUAAUACUUUUAUAUUUCAAAUUCUUCUAAAAAUAGGAUUUUUUUUAAAGAAUGUAAACGUGACUUAUAUUAUAUUUUGUAAUAAAACGACUCAUGUUUGAUGUGAAUAAAUUAUUUGUACCACGUGAACAUAUUAUAUUAAAUAAUAGUUAAAUAUUACUAUUGUUUUUUUUAAUCAAUAGAUCUUUGUAAAAUUAUAUAUAUCUGAAACAUUGUAACAUCAUGUAAUAACAAACAUUUUUUUUAUGAAAGGUAGAUGAAGAUAUAUGAUUUAUCAAUACAAUGUAUUAAGAUAUUCUGAUAUCUUAUUUUAUAAACGUUAUAACAUCAUGUAUAUUUGUUUCAUAUGAAAAAAGAAUAUACUUUUUUAAAAUUUAAAUUACAUAUCAAAACAUAAUUUCAAAUCAAUUGAAUCUUAAAUCAAACGAAUCCUAAAAAAGCAAUUAUAUCAUACCUUAUUAUAGAGUUUGAAAACAUAUUUAUAUACCCAAUUUAAUUUCUUUUUUCUUAUAUACAUUACGUACUAAUUUGGAAAAGAAUAUAAUUAACAAGUAUAAGUAUAAAACGAAAUUAUGCUAUUAUUUAAACCAAAUCAAGUAAUUAAAUUUAAUUUGAUGCCUUUUGCUAUAAAGGGCUAAUUGCUAGGGAUUAGAAAAGAAUAAUUCUAUAUAGAAUUCGCAUAAAAUAAUUAUAAUAUUGAUAGAAGGUUCAUCGUGACGACGAAUCUAAAAACAAUUACUUUUAUUAAAAUUUAUUAUUCAAAAAAUUAAAUGUGAACUCAAUCAUUAUUUUAUGUUGACUUGAAUUCGUCAUAGGAGUCUCUACAUUUUAAAUUUUAAAUCCGUCUCUAAUGAUUCGUAUGACUAACAAAAUAUCGAACAACAUAUAAGAAAAUAGUUUAUAUUAUAAUUAGUAAUUGAUUAAAAAUUUACACAAUUAUUUUUAUUAAAGACUUUUAGAUAAACAUAUAAUAUUAAUAAGAAUAUGAUUAAAAAAUGAAAAUAACUUGCUAUCGUUAUAAAUUCGUAUCAUAUCAAAUAUUUAUAUUAAAAUUUCACUAAAUUCGUAUUGCUUAAAAAUAUCUACUUAUAUAACUUAGAUAUCUCGUAUUUUUUUAAAAAAAAAAUAAUUUAUUGAUAUUUCAAAUUCUUUGCAACAAAAACAAAAAUCAACUUCUGUCAAAACUCGAACUCGAAACCUAUAAUAACUGGCAUUUGGUGACUUGUAAAUAGUCAAACAGCAGCAAGUUUCAUCAAUUGGCUGUUUCUUUAGCAGCCAAAAUCAAUUUUUGCCUACAGAAGUAAAGACUCCAUUAAAAAUCUUGAAUUUGCCUUCUUUAUUGAACUUUUUCCCUUUUGGGAGUUGUUCAAGAUUUGUGUGGAGAGAGGGAGAGACCCAAUUAGUCUCUCCUUUCUCAAUUUUGUGUUGUUUUCAAAAGGGGUUUUCUUAUUUUUUUUUUUCAAAUGGCAAAACAAAGAGAUGAAAGGGAGGUUUGGGAUGGGGUUAUAGAAGGGAUGCCUUUGUUUGCUAAAGAAUUGAUAGCUGGUGGUGUAGCUGGUGGUUUUGCUAAGUCUGCAGUUGCACCACUUGAACGUAUCAAGAUCUUGUUUCAGGUAUUGUUGGGUUUUUUUUUUCUUUUGAGUUUAUGGUUCAAUUUUGCUUGAUGGGGUUGAAAGUUUUUAGCUUUUUUUCGAUUUUGGAUGAGUUUGAUAAUGAUUUUGUUGUGAAUUUGGGUUUUAGAGUGUGAUAUGUUAAAUGAGACUGUUUGAGUUGAUGCAUUGAUCAUGGAGGAUGGUUAACAAUUGCAUUUUUAUCCAAAAUAUGAUCUUUGUUGAUGUUCUUGAGAGGUCUUGGCUUCUUUAGUCCUGUUGUUUUUCGUUUUUUCGAGCUGAUUUUGUAGAGAAUUUAAUUUUCUUAGAGUGUUUUUAUGUUAAAUGAGACAAUUUGGGUUGAUGUAUUGAUCUUGGAGGAUGGUUAACAAUUGCUUGUCUCAAAAUAUGAUCUUUGUUGAUGUUCUUGAGAGGUCUUGGCUUCUUCAGUCCUGUUGUUUUUCGUUCUUUUGAGCUGAUUUUGUAGAGAAUUUGGUUUUCUUAGAGUGUUUUUAUGUUAAAUGAGACAAUUUGGGUUGAUGCAUUGAUCAUGGAAGAUGGUUAACAAUUGCCUUUGUCUCAAAAUAUGAUCUUUGUUGAUGUUCUUGAGAGGUCUUGGCCUCUCUAGUCUUGUUGUUUUUGUUUCUCGAGCUGCUUUGUAAUGGUUUCACUUGAGCUAAGAGUCUGUCGGAAACAACCUUCUCUACCUUCCAAGGUAGGGGUAAGGUCUGCAGACACUCUAUCUUGGUUAUGUUGUUGUUGUUGCAUUGAUUGUCGAGGAUGAUUAACACUCGAAUGCAUUUUUUUCUCAGAAUAUGAUCUUGCUUGAUGUUCUUAGAGGAUGAACUCAGAGGCUUAGUUAGCUCUCUUUGAUGAGAUCAUCCACCAAUCUUAGUUGUAAAAUACUGUGAUCUAUGUUACACCAUUUUUGCAUUUCCAUGAUCUAUCUAUUCACUAGUGGAGCUUAUGGAUGAAAAUAUUCUUCUUUGCACUAUCAGAAUCAUGAAGAACCUCAAAAGUCAUAUUACUAUGACAUGAACACCGUCACCUUUCCUUGAAUCUUUUCUUUUUUCGUUAUACGCAAACUUGGGAUUACACUAGGUACGUUGUUGUUGUUGUUGUGGUUAGACCAAGUGUUCUAACAACUAACUAUUAUGUUGCUUAAGGAUUGAAGGCUUUAUGUUUGAUUUUCUUUUUUCUUAGACUAGACAAGUUGAAUAUCGAAGUUUGGGGUUGAUAGGAUCCUUUACAAAGAUUGCCAAGACAGAAGGAACUCUUGGUUUUUUCAGGUGCAAAAUGCAAUGCUCUCUCCCUUCGAUUUUAACUGUUUAGAUGAGUUAAAAGUUCUAUAAGUUUACAUGUAUUAUUGGGUGGAACUCUUCUUCAGGGGAAAUGGAGCUAGUGUUGCUCGAAUCGUCCCUUAUGCAGCAUUGCACUAUAUGGCCUAUGAAGAGUAUCGCCGCUGGAUUAUAGAUGGAAUUCCUGGAGUGGGUAGAGGUCCCAUUCUUGAUCUCGUUGCAGGAUCGUUUGCUGGUGGAACUGCUGUACUUUUUACCUAUCCACUUGAUUUAGUUCGAACUAAACUGGCUUACCAGGUGAGGAGAUACAUAACGAUUAUGCUCGUUUGAUCUUCUUAAAUUGAAUGUAUGUCACUGUGAACAAUGGAAGACUGAUUCACAUAUGAUCAGCUAGGUAGUUGGAUCCCAAAAGUUGAAUAUACAAGGGAUUGUUGCUGGUGAACAAGUUUACAAGGGAAUAAAGGAUUGUUUUUCAAAGACAUACAAGGAAGCUGGAAUAAAGGGACUAUACCGUGGAGUUGGUAUGAAAGUGUUUUGUGCAUCGCGAUACUUGUAUGUUACUGUUAACUUGCAACUCUUCUCACGUGAUGUGUGUAUCUUGCAUUCCAGCUCCGUCACUCUAUGGAAUCUUCCCCUAUGCUGGGCUGAAAUUUUACUUCUACGAGACAAUGAAGAGCCAUGUCCCUAAGGAGCGGAAGAAUGAUAUCACGAUAAAACUAGCUUGUGGAUCUGUAGCAGGACUUCUAGGACAAACUUUCACUUAUCCUCUAGAUGUGGUUAGGCGGCAAAUGCAGGUAAUUUAGUGAGAGAUCGCGUAAGUUGAUUACCUGUUCUUGUGAAGAACUUACAGUUAGAAUGAACACAUUUCAGGUCCAGAGACUCUCAGCAUCUAACAGCCACGAACUGAAAGGAACAGCAGAUACUCUUGUUAUGAUUUUACAAAAACAUGGAUGGAAACAACUGUUUUCCGGGCUCAGCCUCAAUUAUCUGAAGGUAAGAAAUGGCCUUUAUUGCCAUUUGUAUCUGUUAUAUUAACUGAUCACUAUACUAUGCUUGAACAUUAGGUUGUACCAUCUGUUGCGAUUGGGUUUACUGUUUACGAUUUGAUGAAAGCGUACCUGAGAGUACCAUCACGAGAUGAGGCUGUUGUAGAAGUCGUCACUAGUAACAGAGAUAGUCAACCAUCGACCCUGCACUCCUAACAAUCUUCUUCAGGCUCAGCGAUUGUCAAGUACAAUUUCGGGGCCAUCUUGAGAGCUACUAAAGUUUGUAAAUUUUCAUUCUUUAAUAUAGGCAUAAUUCUUCUUUACAAUAAGUUGUUACCAGAGAGCUAUCAGAUAAUAUUCCCUUAAUCCCAAACUAGUUGGGGUUGGCUAUGAAUUCUCUGGUAUAAAUUCAUCUGUAUACGAAGUUGCACUGCAAAAUGUAUAUUAACAACUUGCUGUAAACUAAUGCCUCAUUCUGGCAUCUUAUACAUUGAUUGACAAGUACGGGCGAGUUAUGAGGAGUAGGACAUAUUUGUGUGUUCAAGUGUCUGUUCUUAAGCAGAUAAAAGUUCUUGAUGAUAUUCUUUAGUUCUCAUCGAUAAUAAAAUGUGUUCCGUAUGCAAAGGCAAUGCAUAGAAGUGGAGAAAUCAAACAAUGCAAGUAUUUUCUCCAGCAAAAUCAUAUACUAAUGUACAGUCUGAUAUCUUACCAACUGGUUACAUGUAGUGAACUCUACUGUGAAUAAAUAUUACUCAAUUCCAGGAACACUAUACUUUUUAUUCAUCCAUAUUGGAUAUCUUCAACUUUCACAGUAUGCUAAAGUACAGAAAAGCAGAAGAAUAAUCUUUUAGAGUAGAUAGAUAAAAGAUCUUCUCGUUAUAGACUGUCAGAAGCAGUAAGAUCGAACCUGUCAUCUCGUUUAUGUUCUGAGACGACGACUUCUUAGUUCAUUUGGCAAAUGUAUCAUACAUGAUAUGCAAGUCAGAUGAUGUAAUCAGACCAUCCAGAUAUGAAAGAUGUAUGGUCCAUACUCUCUCCGGGACAUUCCUCGUGCUUAGUUGGCUGUUCUUUCCCUCCCACCAACCUAGCUGGAUUUCCAACUGCAGUUGUUCGUGGUGGCACGUCAAUCAGAACCACUGAUCCAGCGCCAAUCUUGGCUCCCUCACCGAUAUUUAUGUUGCCUAAUAUCGUGGCACCUGCACCUAUGAGGACUCCGUCACCAAUCUUAGGGUGUCGGUCACCACCAAACUUACCAGUUCCUCCUAAGGUUACAUGGUGAAGAAUCGACACAUUGUUUCCAAUAACUGCAGUUUCACCAACAACCACUCCUGUUGCAUGGUCGAAGAGGAUGCCUUUUCCGAUUUUGGCAGCUGGAUGAAUGUCAACAGCAAAAACAUCAGAGAUUCGGGAUUGAAGUGCAAGUGCAAGUGGCCUUCGGGAUUGAGUCCAAAGUUUGUGAGCUACUCGAUGUGCCUGAAAAUAGAAACAUUAUAUUGUUAAAACCUAAUACUACCAUUUGAAGAGAGUCUGUGAUAUGAAGUGAAAAGUAAGCCCCUUGACUUGCUAUUGAAAUACAGGCAAUCUGUAAAUAUGCGAUUUCCAUGAGAUGCUAAUAGCUACUCAUUUUAUUGAAAUAAAAAAGCAUCUCACACUCGUUAACCAAAGGAAAAAUAUACUUUUUCUUUUCAAUUAGAAUAUGAACUGUCCAAAUGCAUCUGUACAGUUAUUUCAUUGUCAGCAGAGAGCCAAUACAACACAUGAUAGCUAAUGAACAUUGUUUAACAGAAAAGGAAAGAUCAUUGCAUACAUUCAUUUACAUCCGCGUAUAUAGGUGUGUGCGGGCCUUCUGACACAAAUAAACAGGAAAAUCCGGGGGGGUCGAUGUUUCAUUAGCUGCUUAUCUCAAAAUGGAUUGGGAUAGAAAAGAAACAACAAGGAAUGGUAUAGACCACCAAACUGGCAGCCUUUUAUCUUUAUACUACUUUCAAAGCAUACCUACCAACCAGAUACUAGAGACUACUGAGCAAACAAUAUCACAGCCCUUGGCUCCAUUGCAGAACACACUUUCACCAUUUUAGCCCGGUCAGACAUGACAUAAUUAUUUACAAAUAGUAGUUUGGCCUUGAAGUCUUAUUUGAACAAUAAAUAAAAUCUUGUAGUAGUGGUUUGAAAGUUUAUUAUAGAAGCAAGGCAAUUCAAGUGUUUGACUUCUACUCACAACAUUCACAAACUUUCUUUCCAAAUGAAUUUCAUUUCGAAACAUAAAGACUAACUUCAAGUCUUCCACUAUCUUUUUCCAACAUCAACUUCAAGUACUCUCUCAACUUCAACUCAAUAGUUAUCCUAAUUCAUACCGAGUCUACAUCCAAAGAAAGAUCUAAUUCCACUACCUUGCUAAAGUAAUAUCUUAACAAAUGUACCUAUCGUUAUAACAUAGUAGUAUAGCACCAACUAAGUCUUGAACAUUGUCAAAUUCCAAAGUGAAAAGGUCAUAUUAUCAGUUUCACAUUCAAGUAGAUUGGCAUAUGCCAUAUACUUCUAACAUCCUCUGUCAAUCUUUUGUUUGGUAUAACUUCCAAGGAAACAAUUGGAACAUUGACCAGGGCGGAGCUAGGAUGCUGCAAGGGAAUUCAUCACCAAAAAUUUCACAGUAUGCACAAGGUCAAAACUAUUUUGUAUGUAAAUAAUAUACUUCAUGCAUAAAUAGUAGAUAUAUCUUUUCUCAUAUGUCAAGCCGAUGGUCUAUUAGAAAUAGACUCUCAACCCUGCAAAGGUACGAUACGAUCUUGCGUUUGCAUAUAUCUUGCCCUUCCCAAACCCCACAAAUGGAAUUACACUAGGUACGUUGUUGUUCUAGUUACUGAAUCCCGUAGGCCUUGUGCAUUUACUUCUCUAUAUUUUGAAUUCCCUUGUCGAAAAUCUUAGCUCCCACACUUCAAUCAUCAAUUUUUCAAACAAACCCCCCAAAAAUUCAUCUUUUCAUACUCUAAAGUUCCCAUCUUUCCAGAAAAAUUUAACAUAAACCCUAUUUUUUCACAAUUUCAGAGUAUCACAAUAUACUAAAAAGGACAUAGUUACUAAUAGUUUAUCGUAUUAUUAACUACAGUCAUUUCACGAUACAUAAAUUUAUUAUACUUGUCAUUUCAUUUAUUGCUCGAUAGGCCAAGUAAGUCGAUACUGGAUAAGUAAAAAUAGAUGGAACGAGUAGUUACAACAUACAAACCUGACAAGCAAGGAAGCCUUUGUAAUUAAGCAAACAAUGAGAGAAGGAAACACAGGCUGGGUCACGGUAGCGAGCGGCGAGUAGGUCAGCGGAUGCCGCGGCGCGUAGAUCAGGAUCAGAGGAGAAAUUAUUGAGGAACAGAUCGUAGAGAAGAGUAGAUAGAAGCGUUGAAGAACAAAGCUUGUUCCCCAAAUGAAAAGAGAGUGAACGCUCAAGCGAAGAGUGAGAUAGUAUAGUUGAGUACAAAUAGCUUGCUAAUGCCGGUUCAGCUUCUGCAUCCCGCCGAGCUUCUGCUUUGAUCUGUGUCCAUAACCAGAUAGCUUCUUCUGCCGUGUCCGUCGGUGGAUGCGGCGCCGCCGGCGAGGCGUUACGGUGUUCUUCGGCUGGCAUAUUGGAAUACGAUAGCGUUUUGAUGGCGGAGUCCGUGAGGUUUUACUAUCUCCAAUUUUUAAGUGAGGAUUUAUGGAAAAUACAGUAAGGUAUGACACGUGUCAGUUUCUAGAAGGUUAAAAUUAAAUUUUUAAAAAAUCAACAAUAAAAAUAUAAAAACAAAAAAGAAUAGAAACAAUACGAUAAUGUAAAAUAAACAAGUAAUAAUAAUAUCGAGAAGCAUACGAUAAUAAUUAUCGUUAAAUUUAUAAUUUGCAAAAAAAAGUCACUUAAUAAUUACUUUUUUAAAAAAAACAAUUUAAUUAAUUUCAAUAUGUUUAAAUUUUUUUUGGAGACUUUCUAGAGAAUUCACAUUUGUCAUUCUUUAACUAUAUUUAAAUUUUACUUUAUGUGAUUAUAAUAGUUAUAUUAUUCUUGAAUAUAAUAGUUAUUUAAACUUUACUUUAUGUGAUACGACGAAUUCGAUUGUAAUAUUUGAUUUUCUAUUUUACCUUUUGAUUUUUGACAUAAUUGCCAUGUUCAUAUAUAUAAUAAUUUAACUGUCUUUGCCCUCUAUUUAUGUUCAUAUAUAUAAUAAUUUAACGGUCUUUGGCCUCUAUUUAUGUUCAUAUAUAUAAUAAUUUUACGGUCUUUGGCCUCUAUUUAUGUUUACUUGAAAUUUUCAAAUUAUAUAAAUUUUAUUAUUUUAUGUUGUGCUCUUCUUUUUUAUAUUUAUAUUUUUAUAGCACAGAAAAAUCGAUAAAAUAGGGGGUUUAUCUUCUUUGGGGAUCGUUUGACCUUGAAAAUGGAUCGUUUUGACUGUGGUGACAACCCGAGUACGUAGCUAAAGUCUUAACGGAUGUAUAUUUAAAUUUUCGACCAAAAAAAUAUCGAAAUUCUGGACACAAAAAAAAUGGUGGACUAGCACACGACAGUUGACGAAAUUGAAGGUUUACCUGCUCGAGGGCUCGUUUGACCUCUAAAAUGGACCGUUUUGACCAUGAUGACCAACUAGCUCCUAGAUAAGGUCUUAACAGACAUCCAUGUAAAUUUUUGGUAAAAAUCACGUCGGAAUUCCAGAUCACUAAAAGAGAUGGUGGACUAUAGCACAAAAAUCAACAAAAUGGGGUUUACCUGCUCUAGGGCUCGUUUGACCUUGAAAAUGGGUCGUUUUUGUCGUGGUGACCAACUGGCUCCACAGACAAGGUCUUAACAGUCACCCAUGUAAAUUUUCGGCAACAAUCACGUCGAAAUUCUGGAUCACCAAAAAUCUCAUGGACUAUAGCACAUGAAAAUCGGCAAAACAAGGGGUUAACGUGCUCUGGGCUCGUUUGACCUUGAAAAUGAGUCAUUCUUGUCGUGGUGACCAACCGAAUCUAUAGCUAAGGUCUUAAUGGACGUACAUGUAAAUUUUUGGUUAAAAAAACAUCGGAGUUCCGGAUCACCAAAAAAGAUGGUGGACUAUAACACAUUGGCAAAAUUUGGAGUUUACCUACUUCAGGGCUCAUUUGACCUCUAAAUUGGCCGUUUUGGCUGUGAUAACCCACUGGCUACAUAUAUCAGAUCUUAAUAGACGUCCAUGUAAAUUUUCAACAAAAAUCACGUCAAAAUUUCGGAUCACCAAAAAAUAUGGUGGACUAUAGCACACAAAAAUUGACAAACUGAAUGGUUUAGCUGCUCUGGGCUCGUUUGACCUUGAAAACGGGUCAUUUUGCCGUGGUGACGAGCGAGCUCCAAAGAUAAGGUCUUAACGUAUGUCCAUGUAAAUUUUUGGAAAAAAUCACGUCAAAAUCUCGGAUCACCAAAAAUUUCAUGGACUAUAACACACAAAAAUUAGCAAAAUGGGAGGUUUACCUGCUUUAGGCUUGUUUGAUCUUGAAAAUGAGUUGUUUUGGCCCUGGUAACGUAUCAGCUCCAUAUCUACGGUCUUAACGGAUAUACAUGUAAAUUUUUUACAAAAAACUCAUCGAAAUUUCGAAUUACCAAAAAUAAUGGUGAACAACAACAAAUAAAAAUGGGUGAAAUGAAGUGUUUACUUGCUCUACGGCUCGUUUGACCUCUAAAAUGGAUUUUUUUGGCCGUGGUGACCAACUGACUCUAUAGCUAAGGUCCAAAUGGAAGUCCAUGUGAAUUUUUAGCAAAAAUCAUGUCGAAAUUUCUGAUCACCAAAAAAAAUGGUGGACUAUAUCACACGAAAAUCGGCAAAAUGGGGAUUUACCUACUCUGGGCUCAUUUGACCUUGAAAAUGGACCGUUUUGACCGUUAUGACCAACAGGUUCCAUAACCAAGGUCUUGAAGGACGUACAUGUAAAUUUUCAGAAAAAAACGUCGAAAUUCCAAACCACUAAAAAAGAUGAUGGACUAUAGCACACGAAAAUUGAUAAAAUGAGGUUUACCUACUCUGACUCGUUUGACCUCUAAAAUGGAUCGUUUUGACCAUGGUGACCAACUGGAUCUACAGACAAGAUCUUAACGGACGUCCGUAUAUAUUUUUUGCAAAAAUCACGUCAGAAUUACGGAUUACCAAAAAACAUAGUGGACUAUAGCAUAUAAAAAUAGGCAAAAUGGUGUAUUUACUAGGCUCGUUUGACCUUGAAAACAGGUAAUUUUUAUCGUGGUGACCAACUGGCCCCAUAGAUAAGGUCUUAAUGGACGUCCAUGUAAUUUUUUGGCAAAAAUAAGGAUCAGAAUUGUGGAUCACAAAAAAAAAGGGUGAACUAUUGCACUUGAAAUCGGUAAAAUGAGAUUUUACCUGCUCUAGGGCUUGUUUGACCUUGAAAAUGACUCGUUUUGACCGUCAGAGUCAAUUGGCUCCAUAGUAACAUCUUAACAACCGUUCACGAAAAUUUUAGACAAAAAUAACGUCGAAAUUAUGGAUCACCAAAAAUUCAUGUACUAUACAUAGGAAAGGAAUCUAGACACGAUAUGAUUUUGAUUUCUUUUUAGGUAAAAUAUUAUCUUGACUGUAAUAGUAAUUAAAUAUAAUGUAUAUUAUUUAAUUUACUUGAUUAUAAUAAAUUAAAUUUGAUUUGAUGUGAAUAUUGCGUAUACUGUGCUAUAAAAAGCGCUAUUUGUCCUUAAGUAAUAUUUUUUUUGGAGUGAUCACUCAAUCAAUAGUUAGUAUGUCAAAAAUUACUUUCUGACUUUUUUUGUGGCACCUUAAUUAACUUAUAUAGUCGAUCUUAACGUUAAAUUAGUAUAUAUGUUUUUACUAGAAGUGUAAUUCACUUGCUUCUCAUGUGUUAUCAACAGUGGUGUUUAAUUGCAAUUUCUUUUAUGUUUUUCUUGAAUUCGUUUAUUCAAAAUAUAUCACAUACAAAAUUGAUUUAAAUCGAUCCGUGAAUAUUCUUUUAAUCUCAUAUGUUUUACUAUAUUUCUUUAUACCUCUUGUGUCUAGAAUCAAAAGUCAAAUCUAAGUUAAGAUAUCAAAUUAGAAAAUAAAAAUAUAAUUUAAAUUGUGUAUAAUAUUUUAUUAUUUUCCAAACAAUAAUAUUGCACAAUACCACAAGUGAUGGGAGCAUAAUCCAACUUCUUUGUACUUCUUCUAUUAACACCUCCCUCUCAUUAUUUUGGUCUUAUAAAUUCAUGACAAUUUAAAAUAUACCCUAAAAUUAUCAUUAAAAAAACAUAUUGAAUAUCCUAUUUAAUUCCUCAAAAUUUGGUCUGGCAAAUUUUAAUACUACAGAAAUUAUAUGUAAAAUUAGCCGAAUAAAUUAUUACUUAAUAUUAAAAACAAUCAAUUUCAUUCUGGAUAUAACAUUUGAACCCUUCACGUAUUUUAUAUGGUUAUCAUAUUACGACUUCACCCCGAUUGAAAGCUUUUACUAAAGCAUGCGAAAUGUGAGGAUUAUCUGUUCAGAUCUUAUCGCAUACGAGCUUUGCCAUCAACCUUAACAUUAACCAUUAUUUAUGAAUUUCGUUUCAAUCUUGAUCAGCCAGUCUUUGAUUUUUGGUUGUGACUAAUGUAUUUGUUCUAUCUUCCUUAAUAUUUUAAUCAAAUCAAUACCCCCGAUCAGUUAUUUAUUUGUUAUUCAUCAUGUUAAAAAAUAAGACAAGAUACAAAAACAAAAAUAAUACGAAAUAAUUUGUGCAAAACAAUAUUGGAGUUCGAUGUUUUGUUAAAUCAAACUUCAGAUGAAUUCCUAAAAUUUUCGAAUUUUAAUCGAGGAGUAUGAUGAAACAAAUAAGGUCUCUAUAUUAAUUAGUGACUAAAGUUUAAUUAAUUUAAAAAAAUGAUGGUUAAAAUUUGAUUAUUAGAAGUUUAAAAAGUGACUUUUUUGCAUAUUUCACCCCAAUAAAAUACAUAAAAAUUCGAAAGAGACCCUCAAAUUUUUUGAACACACAAAUGUCUUCUCUUUUCUUCUCCAGCAUUCGUAGGCCUCUCUCUGUUGCUCUCAGAAGAUUCACUCUCUGCAGAUUUUCUUCCAUUGUUACUUGUAAAGUUCCCAUUUUUACUCUUUUUUUCCUUUGAAAGCCCUAAUUUUUAAGUAUUUAUUCUCUUGUGGUUUGUUUUUUUGUGCAGAUGCUACAGAGGAAGAAAAAUCAAGAUUCAUUCACCCCUCUUCAGUUGUUCAUCCAAAUGCCAUUUUGGGUGAGGUAAAGAUUCAAUCUUUAUUCUGUUUAUGUUUUUUUGUUGAUGAAAAUCUGUAGUCUUUACCAUUUAUAGAUGUUUGCUGAGGUAGUAAGUUUAGUUUGGCUUCAUUUGUCACAUUCAAUCACUUUCAAAUUGGGGAUAGGGGAAGGGUACAUGGGGGGUUGUAACAAGUUGGGAAUACCCUCACCAACAAGUUGAAAGUUAAGGUAGUCAACUAACUGAGCUACUAAGAUUCUGUGGUAUAUUUCAAUCUCGAACUAGUUGGGAUCGGAUAUGCUGAGUAUUGUCUUUGUUUGACUCAAUGCUGACUUCCAUAAUAACUGCUCUUUUGAUGCUUCUAAUGGAAAACCAAGGCUCAUUAACACCUGUUAAGCUGUUCACCGAAAUGCUAAUGGAUGAUGUAAAGAUACAAUCUUUAUUCUGUUUAUGCUUUUCUUUUGAUGAGUUUCUCAAGUUUUUAUCAUUUAUAGAUGUUUGUUCAAGUAGGAAGUAUAAUUUUGCUUCUUUAGUCAUAUAAUCAUGUAUACUUCAAUGCCGAACUAGUUGGGAUCGUUUAUAUUGAGAAUUAUCUUAGUUUGGCUCUAUGCCGACUAGGGGUGGGUCCUUAUAUGGACUUGGGAAAUCCUCCUUGUUAGCUAGCUUUUGGGGUUGAGUUAGGUCCAAGAUGCAUUGCUUAACAGUGGGCUUAGUUUGCGCUAUCUGAAAUCCAAACUUUUAGGAUAUUUGGUUUGGAUUUUUGGAUUAUAGAUUGGACUUAGUAUUUUAUUUUUAAAAUCCAUUGAUGCUACUGAUGAAAAACCACGAGUUCGUUCACCCGUCUUAAGUUGUUUAUCCAAGUGUCAUUUUGGGUGAUGUAAAGAUUCAAUCUUUCCUCUGUUUAUGCCUUUUUUCUUGAAUUUAUCAAGUCUUUACCAGUUAUAGAUGUUUAUUCUAGUAGCAAGUUUGAUUUUGCUUUAUUAUUCAUAUAGUAUACUUCAAUCCCAAACAAAUUGGGAACGGUUAUAUAAAGAAUGGUCUUAGUUUGACUCUAUGCUGACUGUCAUAACAACAACCCUUUUACUUUAUUUGGAUUGGGACCUGCAAUAUUUUGCACAUGAGUGUAGCUGUAUCUUUUCUUCAUUAGUGUAGUUUGGUAUAUUAGGGCACUUGAUUAGGAUAGGAACCUCUGGUUAUAUCUUUUAGGGUAGUCCUGUCAAGCUAUGUUGCUCAGACACUCCAAAAAUGUUGGAGCAUCCGUGUCAGAUCCUUCAAAUGCACUACUUUUGGAGGAUCCGACAUGCACUUGCUGACUAAUUUGAGUCUGAGCAAUAUAGCUGUCAUGUCAAGUAGGGAAAGUAAGAAAAAUGCUUCAAACUUUUAGUUGCAUAGGAAUAGGUCACGGUCAAGACUUCCAUUAAUGGGAUUCAGAAUAUAAAGAAAUAAAUACAUGAAGAAGCCAAAUUCAUUCGACAUCUAUGAUAUAUGGAUAAAAAUUAAUUUUGACGUUGAACAAUUACUUGUGACCACUCUCAGAAAAGUAACAAAUCAGCUUUUUAUAUAGAAUGUAGUUUUUCGACAACCCCCUUGUGCUCCCUAGCCCCACCACUAAUUAUCAACAUUUAGUUUUUUGCUCUAGUGUUUUUAAUCUUUUAUAACUUCUUAAUUACAAGCUUGGUUGGUGAAGAUUUGAGUUUAGAAAUGGUUAACGCUGGAUCCUUCCUCUAACAACCUUUACAUUCUGCACCCUUAAUUUAGAAUAGGUGUUGCCCUUCUCUCUACACUUAUAUAUAUUGGAGGUAUUUCUUGUCACUUCUCUUGGAAUUAGCGGACUUAGCUAAGAAUAGAAUGACUUGGAGGUAAAAGAUCAUAGGUAUAGCCUAGUGGUUAGCGAAAACUAUUGGAGACCAUAGUUCAAGUCUCAACAAAGACAAAAGAAAAACUCCUUAUGUUCCUUUUUAUGUGACAUAGUUUGAUUUGACAUGGAUUUAAGAAAGAAAUGAAGAAUUUUGGAGCAUGUGGUCUGAAACAUGUAAUAGCAUCUCUGUGGUUAUAAAACUUUUGAACUUGUUUGCGUGAUUACAAAAGCUUCUCGUUAAACCGUGAAGUUUCCAAAUUUAUUUGUGUAUCAUUCUUUUUGGAAUGUACUAAAAAGUAAGUGUGUCACAUAAAUUGCAAUGGAGGGAGUAAUAAGUGGUUUCUUUCCAUCUGCUUGAGCCUUGGUGGCAAGAGUUGGUGGUAGUAGGUACUCAUUGAAAUAAUUGAGGUGCGAACAAAGUUGGCCGUACACUAUUAGAAUUAAAUAUAAGAGAUCCAUAAAGGUAAUCCCGAUUAGUUGGUAUUAAGGUGUAGUUAUUAUUAUACUUAUCUUCGGUACAAUGUUUGCAGUGAAUCCUUUUAUUCUAGUUAAAGAUGUAUCUUGGUGUAGAGAUACUAUGGCAUUUACGUAACUAUAGUUUACGAGAACCUCUGAUUUCCGUACAACUCAAAAUAUUUUUUGUUUGGGCUGAAAUAAAUAUUGUGAAAUGAAUGCAGAGGAUCAUAUAGUCAAUUCCGUUUGGGUGGGAUUAACAUAUGUUUGGUUGGUUGAUUGAUUGAUCUAUUUGGAUGUCAUGUUUUUCCCUUUGACUCAUUAGCUGGUUUAUUGGAGAUGUUCAGGUUUAUAUGUUAAGGCCUUAGGUGAAUUAGUAUUAGCAGAUAGUUAAAGCCUAAAGCUUUUUCUGCAUGUAGGGUGUUUCAAUUGGUCCCUUCUGUACCGUUGGGCCUUUCGCGAAGUUAGGGAGUGCUUGUCAACUGUACCCAGGAAGCCACAUCUUUGGAAAUACUGAACUAGGGGACAAUUGCAUCCUGAUGACGUGAGUUAAAUUUUCUUUUGUACUUGAGUUUUACUUCCUUUCUGUUCUCUCCAGUACCGUUUAGGAUGCAUAUUUUAAGCAGUGGUGCUGUAAUUGGAGAUGAUCUUCCUGGUCAUACAGUCGUCGGGAGAAACAAUGUUUUUGGGCAUCACGCUGUAAUUGGUAUCAAGUGCCAGGACAUGAAAUAUAAGGUCAGUAUCCUGAUGACUAAACUCAUCACCGAAAAAAAUUAAAAAGAAAUUUAAAAACAUCAUGAUAGUGUUGACAGAUAAACUUAUUCAAUGCUGUUUUUAUCACAACAUAUAGAUUUUAAUGUGUGCUGCCGUUGAAUGGAGUUGUUUCCAUCAAAGUAUGAUGAUCAGUUUCUUCAUCAUGAUCACCCUUUCCCCCACUCUCAAAUUUAAGUAGGUGGUGUUUAUUUGAGAAUGCAAAUAAUCAUUAUCUUGUUUGUAAUUUGACAAUUUCAGUUUGGGAAUGAGUGUUAUCUCGAGAUUGGUGACAACAAUGAAAUCAGGGAACAUGUAUCCAUCCAUCGAUCUUCAACUCCAAGUGAUAAAACCGUAUGAAACUAGCUCGUUAGUUUUUCUGUAGUGCAGAAAGUUAUAAACUUUAGAUACAUAGUUAUUUUUAACGAGCUUACUUACAUAAACAGGUUAUUGGUGAUAAUAAUCUUAUUAUGGGCUCUUGCCAUAUAGCUCAUGACAGCAAAGUGGGCAACAAUAAUAUUUUGGCGAACAGUACACUUCUUGCAGGUCAUGUUGUCGUGGAGGUGAUUGACUAUUCCUCUUUAGUCAUUUUCGAGAAGCAUGACCUAUUCUGGAAAAAACAAAUCGAACUGAUAGAUGAUGGUUACAGGACUAUGCUCACACUGCUGGAGGUGUUGUAGUUCAUCAAUUUUGCCGUAUUGGUUCGUAUUCUUUCAUUGGUGGUGGUUCAGUGGUGAGAUUCUUUCGUAAUUCAAAUUAGUUGCUGUCUUGUAGUUUUUCGAAAGACUCAUUCUUCCUUUCAUGAUAAGCUAAGAUAUCAACAGUUCCAUAGUUUGGUGAUUUCCUGAUGUAAACAUAAUUUAACUUAGCAAAGCAUCCAUAACUGCUAGACACUUAAAGUUCUUUUAAUUUGCAUCUCAUGAAAGCUUAGCUCGAACUGCUUACGUUAAGUUGAAUAUCAUCAAAUUAUUUCAUCUGCGUUUCUAAGAUUAGAAGCACAUAUUUCUUGUACUGCAGCGCGCUAACUGUGAUAUUUGAUAUCACAUAUGUGUUUCCUUUUUGGGAUCGCAAUCUUUUUGUUCUCCAGGUUUCUCAAGAUGUUCCAAAGUACAUUAUUGUCUCAGGGGAAAGAGCUGAGCUUCGUGGUUUGAAUCUUGAAGGCUUAAGACGUCAUGGAUUCUCUGCUAUGGAGGUUUGUUUCAUUUUAAGAACCAUUACCCUAUGUUUCUAGCAAAUAGAUGUAGAAAGUUCAGUUUUGAUAAGCUAAUUGGUCUGUGUCUCAGCUAAAAGCCUAUAUCGUGUUUUUUUCACAUGUUAUUCCUCUGUUGUAAUGUUUGCUAUAACUUGUUUUUCUACUUUCAUGUUCUGUGCUGUUCAUUCUGUAGAAAAGACAUGCUGCUGCAUAUAUUGGACAUAUACUAAGUAAUAGUAUCCCAAUGAGAAAAAAAUUCUGUAGACUCUAAAGAAAGCCAUAUGAAACAUUGCACAAUCUGGUAAACUGAAACAUGUGGUGUGAAUUAGGUGUAAGUCACAAGUUCAAACCAUGUUGCGGAGAAAACAUGGUUUUUAUGUUAGGAGGAAAGGUAGGGGGGCGGGCGUAGGCCAUACUUCCCAGAGUUUUGAACUUGCACGCCAACUGGAGUUGAGCAAGAAGCCUAAAGGGGGUUGCUCUGAUAUCAAAAAAGAAAAUUGUAGAUACCUGCAAGGGUGACCGAGUUGGUUGAGCAGGGAUCUCCCAAAUGCGGUCUCAGCUUCGAAACCUUGCAUCCUUUCUCAGUCGAGCUAAUCGUACAAGUUUUGCCUAAUGCAGUUUACCUCUCCUGUGUGGUUUGUGCACUAUUACACUCGAGCAGGGUUUACCCUGUGCACACCCGAAGGAUAAAGGCUGCGGAUUCCCUUGUCAUCAAAAAUAAAUGUAGACCUUUUUUUCCUUUUUCCAUUACAAAUUUAUCAAAAAUAAAUGCUAUCAGUUUCAAUGUAUUAAAUUGCUAUAAUUUUGUCCAUAACUUUUAUAUCUCUGAUUUUAGUUUUAAUAUUUUCUUGCAAGUAUCCAGAUUAAGAGCCUGAGAGCAGCUUAUAGAAAGAUAUUUAUGCCCACUGAUACGAGCUCCGGGAAUAUUGAAGAUCGACUAUCCCAAGUGGUAUUGAGUUGCUUUGAACUUUUCGAUUAGUAAUAGCUCUCUUCUAGUAUGAUGUAAAAGGACACCGUAUUUUCAGGAGCAUCACGAAGACCUGAGUCUAUUUCCAGCUGUCAAUUCCAUGGUUCAGUCAAUACGUGAUUCUUUUGCUGAAAAACGCCGUGGAAUUUGCAAAUUUAGAAGCUGGAGUGGGCCUUAGCAUCUGUUCUUCGUAAGUCUUCUCUUUGUUUUAUUUUCCAUAUGCCGUCCUAAAAGUAUACUUUGAGCAAGUCUUCUCUAUUACUGAAUACAUGGUUCAUAGUACUCACUGAGGGUCUAUCAAAAACAAGUCAAACAACCUCUCUACCCACAGUAGGGGAAAGGUUUGCGUACAUCUUAACGUCCCCAGUCCUCACUUUUGUGGGAUUACACACGUGGCAAUGUUGUUGUAUUAUCCAAACUCAUUGGAUACGUUGCGAAAAAUUCAUUACUGUUUUUGCAGUUAAGAAUACUGAGUGUCACCUCUAUCAUGGUCUCUGAUCUCAAUACCCUGAUAUAGUGAAAACAAACAACGAUAUCCUGCCCGUCUUAUGGAAGUCCUCGUAGAGUGAAUGUUGCUGCACUAGGACUGUUCAUAUUCAUGCUUUAAGCUCGUUAUGGAAGAGUAACGAACUGAGAAGACGUUCAGAUUGAAUGGACUAAAAUGAAGUUCAUCAUCUCAUAGUACUUUGUAUAUCUCAACACUGCAUUUUUUUCCAGAAUCUCGUGGUUGAUAGUAGUAGUUCGUUGACCUGUUCUUCCUCUCCGCGAACAACUGUUGUAUCCCUUGCUCUAUGUCGUGGUGAUUUCGACAACAAAAACUUCUAAUUUAAUCGAGCAGCCAUAUCGCGUGUUCAUCGCCUUGUAAAUAUAUGUAGAGAGAGCAACAUUUGCUACAAAUACCUUUCUCAGUUACUCUGUACCUGUAAUUUUUCACUAAGGUUAAAGAGUUUAGAUUCUUGUGAUGAAUACUCUCGUCCUUCCGUUUUAAUCUGUUUGUCUAGUUUUGAGUUGAUACAGAGUAAGAAAGUAAAGUAGAUUUUUGAAUCUCGUGAUCUUGAACUAAUAGAUACGUUGAAUGUAUCAGUAUGUCUUUUAAAAAAAUAUCAAGAUUCAUCAAGGGGGUAGGGUGGGGGGGGGGGGGUGUUGUAGAAGUACAAUAAUGAUAAAUUUUGUUUUUUCAUUAGUGUUUGGUUAUUAUUUUGGAAUUUCGAUUAAUUUAUAUUUGCAUAGCGGAAAAUUUAAAACUACAUUCUUUUUACCUAUCCUUUUCUCCAAUUUUUAGGAUUCAGAUUCGAGAUUUUUGAUUCGUAGAUAUUUUUUUUUACAUAGAGACAAACCCCCUUUUUGAAAAAACUAAACAUUAACAAAUAUAUUGUUUCUUUUUGUUGGAUUUCUCAUCCCAUUUGCACCAAAAGUACUACCAAAAAAAAAAAUCCCACUCAAGUAUAAUCCAAUCUAGAAAAAUCAUAGGCUAUUUUUUUUUUUUUAAAAAAAAAACAGAAAUAGUAAAUUCUAUAAAUUUAAAUUUUGCUGAGAAAUAUAUAUAUUAAUAAAUUGAAAAAUAUCUUAUAUCUUGGUUAGCAUGUUAAGUUAUUUUCUUCCUAAAAAGGAAACAAAUUUGAAUCAUGUAAUAACUAUAAAGAAAUGAAGAAAAAUAAAUUUAUUAUACAUCGAAUUUUAAACUCGUAAAGACUUUUAAAGAUUUCUAAAUCAUUAUAUAAAGAAUAUUACAUAGACUGAAUUUAUUAAUUGUCUCUUUAUAUACACAUUCCAAUUUCCAAGUCUUUGCUAGAAACUAAUUUAUGAAUUUUUUGUACAUAUAUUGGACUUAUUUACCACCCACCCCAACAUAUAAAAAAUAAAAAAUAAGAAAAAUAAGUCUUUAUUUAUGCAAAAUGUUCAAAAAGCAAUUGAUAGAUCAACAUCAAAAAAAAUUCCAAAUAUUUUCGACAAAACCUUAUUGACCAUUUUUCUUCUAAAUAAUAAUAUAGUUUAGUGCAUACAACUAUAAUAUACACUAUAACUAGUUGCAGAGUCAGAAAUUUUAGUAAAGAGAUUAAUUCAUUUUAAAUCCAUACUCAAUAUGACGAAGUUUUAGAGUAAUAUAAAGAUAAUUUUCUAUAUGUUGUAAGUUGGAGCUGACUAAUAUUUACACUGAGUUUGGAGCCUAAAGGGUGAAAAAUGUUAACAAAAAUUUCAAAACGGUGAAAUUUCUUUUUAACCAAACGGUAAAAUCGCUCAAGAUGUAGCGAUUUUGUCCGACUGAAAAAGUAAAAUCGCUGCAAUAGUAGCGAUUUGUUAAAUUUGAUUAUUAUUUUUUUUAAAAAAAAAAUUAAACAAAAUCGCUCCCAAAGGAGCGAUUUUCAAACUAAAAUUUUCUUUUUUAAAAUAUGUGUUUAAGUUUAAUUUUUUUUAAAGUUUAAACAAUUUUUUUAAAAAAAUAAAUCAAAUCGUAGCGAUUUUUAAUUAAUUCUUUUUUUUAAAAAAAAUCAAAUCGCUAAAAAAGAUUUUGAUUUAAAAUCGCUGCCUUGGCAGCGAUUUGAUUUUUAAAAAAAAUUUGAACUCAAGUUGCUGUCUCAGCAGCGACAUAACAAAAAUAUAAUAAUAUAUAUAUAUAUAUAUAUAUAUAUAUAUAUAUAUAUAUAUAUAUAUAUAUAUAUAUAUAUAUAUAUAUAUAUAUAUAUAUAUAUAUAUAUAUUUUGAAAAUCACUCCUUCGGAAGCAAUUUUGUUUAAUUUUUUUUUUAAAAAAAUAUCAAAUUUAACAAAUCGCUGUUAUAGCAGCGAUUUUACUUUUUUCAGCUGACAAAAUCGCUACUUAUGAACGAUUUUGCCCCUUUAAUUUUAAAAAAAAAUCAUAUAUCGUUUUAAAAUUAUUGUUGACAUUUUUCACCAUUCAAGCUUCGAACUCUAUUUACACUAGCAAAGACAUAUCAACAUUUCUUUGGAUGUAACCUUUUUUCUUGAACUCUCUAUGAAUACAUAAAUGAUUUGUGUACGAUUCUGAGUGAACAUGAAAUGCUUUACGCACGAUUAACGAUAAUCGACCUUUGAUCAUUAUUUGCCUACGAUAAUUCCCAUCUUCUUUUAAUUUUGUCGUUUGUAGAGACACAAAAAAAGUUGUUGCUUUCUACUAAAAAAAAACUUCAACUUGGAUAAUAUAUCCAACCAACCAAAAACAUUAAUGUCCAUCCAAUCAUCUUUUCUUGGCUAUUUUCAUAAAACCCUACCUUGUACUAUACAAUACAACACAUCAUCAUUAUAUAAAUUUUUUUAUUUUUAACUAUAUAGUUCUUGAUAUAUACAUAACCCUCUUCUCUUCCUCCCAUUUCAACAACCAAAAAAAAAAUUAAAAAAAAUUGUGAAACUAAUUCUUUUUUGUGUAUGUGAAAAUGGGGAGGAAGUGUUCACAUUGUGGCUAUAUUGGUCAUAAUUCAAGAACUUGUAGCACUUUGAAAAGUGCUAUUAGUGGUAGUAAUUUUAAUGGUGGAUUAAGGCUUUUUGGAGUGCAACUUGAUAUUUCUAAUUCUUGUUUUUCUAGUCAUAAUAAUAAUAAUAAUAAUAAUUUGAAGAAAAGUUUUAGUUUGGAUUGUUUGUCUUUAACAAAUAGCCACUUAUUAUUAUUAUCAUCUUCUUCUUCUCCAUCUCUUAAUGAAAAUAGUAGUACUAAUUCUAUUGAUAAUAAUGGUUAUCUCUCUGAUGGUACUCUUGUAGGUUGUGUUGGUGAAAGGAAAAAAGGUAUGUAAUUUUAUUCAUAAUAUACUCAUUGUAUACACAUAUUACUACUAUGUUAAUGUUAAAUAUUUGCAAAUUUUGUUCACUAUAUGGUCUAAUCCAAAAUGUUUGCUAAUUAAAAAUAGAUUAUGUAGCUAAACAUAAAAAUUCAUUGCUAGUCUUAUGUACCAACAAGUUAUGUUAGCUAUAAACUAUUUAGCGCGAUAACAUUAUUGCUAAUUAAUUUCAUUUAUUUUGUAAUGAAUAUUUUCACAUAAUACUAAAACGAGAUAUAUAUUAAACAGUGAAAAUUCAUAUAAUCGAUACGACUUUUGAGUGGAAUUGAGUUGUGUUAGGUGUAGUACAUAAACAUGUAGAAUCUUUCUUAUGUACAAAACUUCAACUAUAUUGCCCUAAUUGUAACUUAUAUAUGAAAAUAUUCUACUUAUAGCAGGCCAGACUGUUUAUAUCACACUUUUGAUGAUGCGAUUCUUUUUUCCAAAUUCUGCGUGAACGUAAAAUGCUUUGUGUCUUUGAUUAUUGAUAUAUAUAUAUAUAUGUUUGUAUUGGAUAAAUAGGAGUUCCAUGGACAGAAGAGGAACAUAGAAGAUUCUUAAAUGGACUUGAAAAGUUAGGUAAAGGAGAUUGGAGAGGAAUUUCAAGAAAUUUUGUGACAACAAGGACUCCAACACAAGUUGCAAGUCAUGCACAAAAAUAUUUUCUAAGACAAUCAAGUCUCAACAAAAAAAAAAGACGUUCAAGUCUCUUCGAUAUGGUAAAUAUAUUAUUUUUCGAAUUAUCGAUACACCUAAAAUUAGAUAUGAACUUUGUUGCUUAUAGAAUUAUUUGUAGCUAAAUAGAAUGAAGAAAUUGAAUUUUUGAUGUUUAGUUAAUAGUAGUUAAAACUCAUGGUUUUUUAGUAGUGGAUUUAUUUGCUAAGUAGAAAUUUUUGAGGUAUAAUAUCAAUAAUGUUUGUUCGGAUUUUUCAAAUAUAUUAUCGUAGAUCGAUGAUGAAGCCUAACUUUGUCCUAAGGGGUGUUUUUAACUAGAAAAUUACAUUACGUAAAUAGUUAAAAAAAAAAUUUAAUGCAUAUCUAUUAUUGUAUGUAUGUUGAAUUUUUUUUAAUUUUUCGUGUGUUUUACUGCUUUAUAUUUUAAAACUCUUUUUAGUGAAAAUUCAAGCUUCACUGCUAUCGCAGACAUAGCAUUACUAAAACAAGUGAAUUUUCGUUGAAACGAACACAUGUUCUUUGAUCCUAUGAUAUGAAUGCCAUCUAGAGGAUCGAAUAAGGGUAUGAUUUUUAAAGAAUCCGAGUAACAUGACAUUUAAGUUAUACGCGAUCAAAAUAGUUUUCUAUUAUAAUAAUAGGUUAAUUACUAUUAGUGCUCAUAAUAGAAAUUUAUUUAUAAUUGACCUGAUCGUGUAAAUAUAUUAUUAUUUUUUUGACAUAUAACUAAUUACUAACUCUUUUUUUUUUUUUUUGUUAACAUGAUAUAGGCAAGGAGCAACAACAAAUAUGUAGAUUUUUGUCAAAAUUACCAAGAAGAUUGUCAAGAAAUUACAAGAUCAUCUCCAUUAGACCUAAAUUCAUUUGGAGAAAAGUGUGAAGAUUCUAUUUGGAGUUAUGGAUCACAAAAUUCUCAUCAAAAUAAAAUUCCAAAUAAAUCCAUUUCUUCAAAUGGAACUCUUGAUUUGGAACUAAGUCUUUCAUCUCCAAGAAAAAAUAUUGUGGAUAAAAAUAAUAAUUCAUCAUCCUCCAACACUACUUUCAUGAAUAUUGGACCAAUUAAAGUUACCUAACUUGUACUAAUUAAAUAAUCCUUGUUUUAACUUUACUAUUAAGAGUUUUUAAGUGAUUAAUUAGCACCAAUGUAUGUAUUGUUUUCUUUUUUCAAGGUAGAAAAAAAAUUAAAAAUAUUAUAAGUCCAUUUUUAAUAUAGUAUUCAUUUCUUAUUCUCCAUCAACUUCAAUUUUUUUGCGAAGAGUUCCGACUCUUCAAAAACAUAUCAGAUCUUUUAUAAACACAAUAUUUUUGAAAGAUUCAAUACGCAUUCCUCAAUAUUUUGAAGAGUACGAGUGACAUAAAUUAGAACAAAGCACUUCAUGAGAAUUUCUAUCCGGAUACUUUUUCUAUCUCAAAAUAAGUGUAGUCAGUUUUAAUCGGGGAAAAAAAUAUUAUUCCAAUGAAUAAGUAUCGCUUUAGAAAUUUAGAUAAAAAUUAGUAUCGUUUCCAACUAAAUAUUAAAUAACUAAUUGUUUUUUUUUUAUUUUUAAAAAGAUAUAUAUGUUAAAACAGCUAGCAUUUUAUAUUUUUCAAGUCUGCUAUUAUGUGAUAUCUCCAACUAAGAUAUACUUGGAUUUUUUGGGGUUAACUUUUACCUAAAAAAAAAAAGGGUCCAUCACUACUAUUACUCCAAAACUAAUAGGACAAAAGAACUAGAGAAACACCAAAAAGAAAAAGAAAAUACAAUUCUCUUUUAAUAAAUCACGAUAUUCUGAUUAAUUUAUUCGCAUCUCAAUUAAUUUUAUAAAGUCUUUAUUACCUUUCAUGGUCGAAUAAUUUUAUAAAAAUAAUAAUAAAAUAUUCAGUAUAAUUUUAUAAAUAGAGAUUGAAAAAUAUGAAGUACGACCUAAUUGUUUUAGAUAGAUCUUCUAUCAUGAUCGAAUAAUUCUGUCCACAAAAAUUUAAAAAGUUGGAUAAAAUGAAAAACUACAUUAUCGAAACGUGUUUAAAUUGGAAUCAAUAAAUAAUUGUACCUUCAUUUGUUCAUAUAUAUAUAUAUACACCUAAAAAUAGAGACAAGUAAUUUGACAUUACUUGACAAUGGUCAAUGGACCACUAUAAUAACUUUAGAAAAUUUAAGAUGAUGAAUCAUAUUUGUCGAACUUUUAAAUGUUUUAACUAGUUAGUAAAAAUAAUCAUAUGAACCAUAUUCAAAGACUUGUCGGUUGUUCAACCUAGCUAACUCAUAACUCAAAAUCUGAGACGUAUUCAAAAUUUAAAAGUUUUAAAUAUUAUAUAAAAGAUGAUUAAUUAAAUCAACUUUGAGCUUCAGCGCGGUUGUCUUCUUGAGUUGUAUGACAAAUAGAUUGAAUUAUAGAAUAUCGAAAAAAGUUUAUGUACGUAACCUUAGUCCUAUUUAAUAAGUUUUAUUAUAUAAAAUUAAUUUAUUACAAUCGUGAUAUUCAUUGUCGUCUUCUUCACCUUCUUAGUUAUGGUAUCAUCUUUGUCGUGACAUCGAUAUCUCCGACUUGAAAAGAUGGAGUUUAGAGUUUUAAAGAAAUCAAUUGAACAUAUAUUUUUAAAAAAUUAAUAAAAAUCAUUAUAUAUAUUAAGUGGACAAAAAUACGAGUCCGAAGCCUAAAGGAUAAAAUAAAUUGACAAAAAUUCUAAAAGGAUAUAUCAAAAAACUUUCUAAAGCCGGCCACAUAAUUCGCGCUAUUAGUAACGAUCUUACCGUUUUGAUUAAAAAGUUCUUUGAUAUACCUCUUUAGAAUUUGUGUCGAUUUUCAUCUGGUCAACAUCGAAGUGUUUUUUUGCUAACUAUUGAGUGAUGAUUCAGAUAGAAAAUUUAUAUUCUCACUAUGAAAAAGAUUUUAGAUGUAUUUUUAUUUUUUAAACUCUAUUAUAAAACAUUAUCAACAAGACCCUAACAUUCUCAAUACACAAAUAACACACUUAUCUUUAUAUUUUUGUCAUUUUCUUAGUGGUGGGGUGAAGGUAUCUUUUAGAAUUUGCUAUACAAUCUUGUGUCAACUUAAAUACUAACCUAGCAAUUGUCAGCUGGUCCUACAUUUACUUUAUAGAGAUAGUGACUUUUAGAAAGAAAAAAAAAAAUACAAAGAAUUAUUGAGAUAAAUAUUAAUUUAUAUGAUAUUGUUUGAUCGAAUAGAAAAAAUAUUUUUCAUAACUGAAAUAUUUGAUAGUUUAUGUAAACUUUAACUAAUUCAAAGAUACCUAGAAACUUUAAAAUAUCCUAUACUGUUCAUUUAGGAUUUGAAUGUGUGAAAAUCAUAAUUCAAGACGUUUGAAAACUUAUCAUUUAAAACAAAUUUUAACUGUGACUAAAUAUUAUUUCAUUAAAGUUAAAUUAUUUCUAAAUAGAAAAGUAUAACAUUGCUUUCAAAAUUAUUAUAAAUUAAAAAAAAAUAGUAUAUAAAGUGAGAUGGAAGGAAUAUAUAUUACUAGCAAUGAGUUGUCAAGAAAUACACAGUACUCAUUGUUCCUUCUUGUCACCCUUUAUUGAUGUACUCCAAUUCAACAACUCCAAUGUUUUAGACGGUGAAAUGUAAGCAGAUCUUACCCGUAUUUAAACUCUCGACUUGUACUCUGAAUCAAGUCAAACAGAUUGAAACGGAGCAAGUAUCUAAUUUCUUUCUUUUAGUUUUGGUCAAUUAGUGUUCAACUAUCCAAUAACUUAUAUAUAUAUAUAUAUAUAUAUAUAUAUAUAACUUCAUUUUCAAACUUAGAAUUUUCUUUUGUUGUAUAAUGUAUAAUUCCUUGUAAUAGUAAUAAUAUUUACAUAUGCUAAGACAAAGCAAAUUAUUAUCCACUGGCUUUUCUUCUAUCUUCAUUGAGACAAUUGUAAGCAUCCUUUUUGUCACUUGUGAGUUUGGACCAUUGAUAGAGCAGGACCAUAGAGGAGACUAGAAACUUUCUAUAGAGCCCACAUACCCCACACCCACCCCACAUCCUAACAUUCAAGGCAUAGGGUUAAGAAUUGUUUUUUUUUUAAUGAUCAUGGUGUUCGGGCCAAUUUUUGUGCCUCUACUAAAUCCACGGGAUACAUGUUACCUCACAUUAACAACAGGGUGUCUUUAGGUCUUCGGGAUCUGUGGUUUGUGUUAAGAAAUAAACUCACACAUUAUCGAGGUUUCUUUGAACUCUUCUCUUUAUUAUUAUGGUUUUCGAGUCCGUCCUAUACCAAUACUUAGUUGCUACUUCCCAUCAGCACAAGUAUAUCGGAUAAAAAUAGGAAGAAAUCACAUGUGUCAUUUUGCCUUCAUUGAAAUGUAAACUUAAAAGACCUCAUGAUUCUCUUUCAACUUCAUCGAGUCACAUGCAUAAAAAUAUCUUUUGAACAUCAUUCUUUAGGCCUAGAGAGUCGGCUUUGUAUAACAUAUGAUGUUUUUUUAUUUUUAACUUGUUACCUCCUACCAGUACAGUUAUCAGAUAACAUAGGUAUGAUACAUGAGAAGAAUUCACUUUAUGUUUUUUGCGCUACCGAAAUAAACCCUAAUUUUCACCCAACUCAUUGAUUGUUACAUAAGUCCAAAAAAAUACACAUACUAUACACACAGCAUGAGAACACUAUUUGGGUCCCCUCUUGUUAAAACCAUACAAUGUUUUGUUGGACCACUGCUUUUAGCUUUAGACAUGUCAAUUCCUCAUUUGGAAACCAUUGUUAAGAGUGUAAGUUUUAUCAGCAUGUUUGUGUCCUGUCUUGUAUUUAUAAAUAACACAUGGAUGACUAGUUUUGGAUAGUACUACGGAAAAGAUUACAAGUUGUAUAGAAUGAGAAGAAAUGAACAAGCCAAACUAGACCACGUCUCAACAUUUAAUACCAUGUGUUUUCUCUCUGUUUCAAUUUAUAUGACAGCUCAAAGCUCAUGGUACCUAUUGUUCGUUUUUAGCUCAAUUGUGUACCGUGUAAACUUAUGCUAUGAUGAUUAUAAAACUCAUAAACUUUCCUCCCUUUCUAAUGUGGAAUUCGUCUAAGAUUUCUAGCUAUGUAUAUUCUAAACUCUUAGUGCCAUGGGCCUCACAAUAUUUAACACAUAAGGAGUAAUUAAAUGUGAUUUCGAGCUAGGUAUAUUCUAUAAAAAAAUUAAAAUUGCAAACUGUCAUGUUUUGUAUAAGACAGCAAACACUUUAUAAUGUUAGACCUUUGUUUUCGAACUAUUGUGUCUUAGUUCAACACUUGACCUUUAUAAAUUAUAAUAAUAUAAUAACAAGACAAACAAAAUUCAGCCCACUUAACAUGACUUCACCAGGCCCAAUAAAUUUGCUUAAUGGGCCAGGUCUUUCACUCCAAAUUUCAAAAUGGCCCAACUCACCGAGCUUCUUAAGUUGAGCCUUCACCGACUGUCCCCGGAAUCCAUGGACUGAAGCCUUAAAGGACCAGGUCAGGUCUAAUCCCACCCGACCCACUUGACACGUCUAGUUCGAUGCACCCUCGAGUUGCUUCAUUAAAGUUAUUAGGAAUUGUCCCACUCUGGUUAGGCAAUUCAAUAAUAUGCAAAACCCACGAGUGGGGUCUGGAAAAGGAAGGAUGUACCCAGAUCUUACCCUCUAUCUUUGCGGGGAUGGCCAAGAACAUUGGUAUCCUCCAUUUAGUGUGAAGUUCAUGUUUUUGGUUUUUUUAUGCAUCAAACUUUAUACAUUCAAGGAAAUCCAGCCAUGAAAACAAAAUUCUAUUGAUACUUUAUACAAAUACAAGCAUAAUACCAGAAAUGAAAAAUACCAAUGGGAAGGACUAAAAUAGGUAUAGAUAAAAUUUGGGAACCUAUAUUAUAAUCUUUACAAGAGAGGAUAGUCAAAUAUAAAUGCACAAUAAUUGUAGAAAAAUAGUACCUUUCUUUUGUUUGGUAUCAGUUCCGGAAUUGGUGGAUAAUGGGUCUGCUCUUCUACUCCUCUCUACUUAAUAGACUUGGUUCCCCGGCAAGAGUUGAACUCAUGUGUACGUGUUGUAGAACCUUUGUCGUUGAACCAAAGCCUAAGGUGAUGGUUUUCCUUCUCCUAGAGCUUAUGUUGGAUGCCUAAUAACUAUCUAACUGACUGCAGCUCAGAAAUCGAACUUCCCCAUAGGAGGAACGUCACCUCUCAUUACUCUCCAAGGGCCACCAUAAAACAUUGGUUUCAUUAGAGGCACAUCUUGACCAGGGUGGUCUUCCCAGUAUUUCUCCUGUCAUUAUGAUAAAAAAGAAACUCUUAAAGACGAGAAUUUGGAAUUGGCAGUAAGGCUGGAAAAAAGAAUAUCAUUCUUAAUACACAUGAGGAAGUCUUUACGUUGAGCAAAUAUAUAACGUAGAAAUAGCUAAAAGUCAAGAAUAAGAUCAGAGAGAGGAGAAAACAACCGAAGCAAUGUGAGUAGCUAAAAUAGAUGUAGUUCUUCCAAUUCAUUGGACACAUACGUCAAAAAAUUAAGUAGCUAACUUGAUUUUUACAUUGAUAGUGGUAGAAGAAUCCAUAGAGUUAAUUAAUAAUCUAGUUUAUGAUUAGAAACUGUUAAUAAUACAUUUGGGAAUUAUUAAGUAAUCAAAGACGAAUUUCAUUAGGAUGAUUCAGAAGUUUCUGAAGGCUAGCAAAUACUUAAAUGAAGCUGUUUUUUUCAGAAAGGAUCGUUUCCAAUCGGAUGAAGCUUAAUCCGAGAAGAGGCACAUAGAUAAUAGUCUUAGUUACUUUAAGGUUGCAACAGAGAAGGGAAAAUGUAUUGUGUGUAAUCAGCCAAGGAGGGGGUCAAGCAAGGAGGACAAAGGAUCAGAACGACCUUCAAUCAGAUGUCUUACAUGCAGUGGAGUCACUUUAGCAUCAAGUAAAUGAAACAAAUGUUGCUCCAAAAUCCGGUCCAUGGAAAAAAACUCCGAGUAGGACGAGUUCCAGAGUUAGGAGACGGUCCAAGGAUGGAGAGAGAACAAUGUGCUCACUCCUACUGCAGCAUUCUAUGAAUAACAAACAUGGGCUCACAGACAACUUUUUGAAAGGCUGGGAGUGACAAAAAGGCGGCAAAGGGCUCGGAGAGCCAAGUCUUACGUGUCUCCUCGUUUCUUAGCUGCUGAGAAAUUUAAUGGAGAAUAUAUUUCUAGAAUAAUACAGUUAUAGUACAGGAAUUUGAUUGCUAGGCUUUUCUUCGCUUUUUUCUUGUACUGUGGGAGAUGUUAUGUACAGAUAUUUAGCCAAGAAUUCAUACGGAAUAUUUCAAUUAGUCCAAUGGAAGAGUUCAUAUUCAAGUUACCAAUGGCAGAGACAGCCACUUUUUUGUUCAUGGUUGGUAACUUAAUUAACAUUAGUUUUUGGAAUGAACAACUUUUUCUUUGUGUAAAAAGAAUAAAAUUAAAAAAUGAAGUUGUUUUUCUGAUGUCAAAGGUACAAGGUUUUCAACUGAGCACCUAACUAUUAGGGAAGGUUUUGCAGAAAGUUGAACCGACAGAGUUAAUAUGCAACAACCUAGGAUCGCCUAGAUGGAUUGUUAUCCUUAGAUGGGAGAGAUAAGCUGUUUUAAUGGGGAGUGACUAUAAAUUUCCAUUAUAUGAUCAAGACAAUGAAAGUCGCUCACAUUUGUUUUUCUUGUAUGAUAUCAGCCCACAUCAGGCAAAAGCUUCUCAAAUGGCAAGGUAUCAACAGAAACACAAGACAGUGGGAAGAUGAACUACAAUGGUACCUAACUAUGCAAAGGAAAGAAGUUCAAGAGCUGAAGUACACAGACUGAAUCUUGCAGCGGCAGUAUAUCAUAUUUGGAGAGUGAAGAACUUAAGAAUGAUGUGUGGAACUCUCAUGCUUUGAAGUAACACUUCUCAUGUAACUCUUUCUAAAGGUAAUGUUACAGAUAAACAUUACCAAAGAGGUAGGGAACUAGUUAUAUUGUAACCUGAAUGGCUCCUUUACCGUGUAUAAAAAUGAGAGGAGGCAAGGUCCAUUUCCAAUAUACCCUGCACUAGAACUAUCUAUAUUUGGGCAUUCAUAAUCUAGCCUACACCCGCCAACCAUGAAACCAUCGGUGGCUUCAACUUUUAAAACUUACAGCACAAAGCAGCUAUCCCCAUAAAUAUGUCAAAAGAAAUGGCAAGCAGUAAGUGCUUAAAAAGGGAUGUAAAGCCACUAUACCUUGUAGACUUGUUCAGUGAUGGCUGCUCCAAUAACCCCGGUAUAAAAUGCACAUACGUAGAUAGUAACAAGAGGAGUAAACGAUUUUGGUCUCCUAAAUGGUUCUACCAUAUCCCAGAGGAGCGUCUUUUCCCAUUUUGUGUAGACAUAAUCUGCAUAUUUCCUCCAUAAAUACGUUGCCAUGUCCACGAGAUCCUUCAAUUAUCAGUUGAACUGUGCACAGAAGAAAUAUUUGGUUAAUGGAAGAUGUAGCUAUCAAUAUGUAGAAAACUGAAACAAGAUUUAUUAAGGGAUAGGCCUAGAUUAAUCCCACAAGUAGGGUAUGGGAAGAAAACGCAGGACAGCCAUAAUUUAACUUGAAAAAAAGCUUCAAGUUUCAAAAGAUAUCAGAUACUAGGAGAGGUAUGACAUGUAUCCUAAUGAAGGAACAAUGAUAUGAGAUCAUUUUUAAAAUAGAAAAUACACUAUUUAAAUAAGAAAAAAUCUAGGGCCAAAACUUUGAACAAAUAAGUGAGCCCUAAUUAACAUUAAACACAGAAACUGAAUGACUAAUUAGUUAUCAAUGCAAAAACGACUUCAGCCAAACUCAUAUCCACAACAGUCAAAACAAUGACAAAUUCACCUAAGACUUCCCCUUAUGAAACUAAAAUCAAGUAUAGACUAAUUGAGAAUAGAGAGACAAGGAAGCAAUGGAACUACACAUAAAAGGAAAAGAAAAUAACUUUUGGAUCAGCAAAUUCCAUAUAUUAGCAUACACAAGAACUAAGGGAAAACAGAAAAUGAACUUUUCAAAUGUAAACUCAACUAAGAGAAAUAAACCGAAACAGACUAACUAGAAUAUCCUGCUUUCUGUAACAAUUUGAGCAUAACAUAUUAGAAUUUGAAGCAAAAUAGGGGGGUUAGGAGUCUAGCGCAACAAAUGACUACAAACAGGGAGGGACAACACUUUGACAAUAGACUCUAUUUUGAUUAAAACCAGACUUGAUCUCGUGUUCAUCAUCAAGUUCUCAACAUUCCACGUAUGUCAAACCAUCAGAAAACCAAAUCACUAUCCCCAAAGACAAAAAGAAAAACUUAAAACAUCCAGAUCAGAGUUAAAAACCUACCCCCUGAACUCGAAUAGUUCCCAGAUACUUCAGAUCAAAUAAUAAGCUGGCCAAACAUGUCUAUUGGAUUUUGAAGCACUUAAAAGAGAGCUAAACUACCACUUUGGAGAAUAAGUUGACAUAUACAGAAUCAUGAAAGGUAAAGCAGGUCAUAACACUUCAUUUCAAUAUUAAACAUAGCUCGAGAACAUGACAAUCAAUUUUGAGACUCCUGCAUUUAUCUGAAGACGAUACCAACAGCAAAUAAUGUAGUGCCUGAUGCUUGAAGAUAGAGUAAGGUAGGUAUAGGCAGAUAAUAGUUUGACAACAUUCCAGUGAACAGAUUCGGGAUGAGGAGUAAUGAAAGCACGAAAUAUAUCUUGAUUCAUAUAAUUUAGCUUAAGACAAAGAUUGAAUAAACGACGUCGAACAUUGAUUGAUUAUUAAUGCAGAUUCAUAACAAGCAGAAAAUAAACUAAGACGAGUAAUCAUAAUACAGCUCUGGAGGCAAAGAGAGUGAGAAUAAUAGCAAAUUCAGAUUGUAAAAUCAGUCCAGAAUCCACCUUCAAUAUUCACACAUACAUAUUCAACAAGCGAAAGAUCAAAAUCUCGAUCACACGAAGAAUCGUUACCAUUACUAAAACUAUCGGUGAACUAAGCAAACAAACAGAGCCAAAAUAAGAAGAAAUGACAUUAAGUAUAUUCACCAACUAAAUCACAUUAAGUAUUUGGAGAACUUAAAGACUUUUUAAGGCUAAUUAGUUAAGUUAAAACUUAACUAAAACACAAUAUUCAUCAACUAAAUCACAUUAACUUAUUUGAAGAACUAAGUGUCAACACUAGAUGGACACAAAUCAUCUUGCAAGAAAAUCGAUUUAGUCAUCAAUAGAAUAAACUAGCGUUGACACUUAUCCUUAACAAAUAUAUUAUUUCUAAUUUUAAAGCUAAGUGUCAACACUAGAUGGACACAAACCUAUCUUGCAAGAAAAUCGAUUUAGUCAUCAAUAGGAUCAACUAGUGUUGAUACUUAUCCUUAACAAAUAUAUUAUUUCUAAAUUUAAAGUUAAGUGUCUACACAAGAUGGACACAAAUCAAGUAGGUGCAUAUAAACACAUUAUAUAAAAUAAUUGUACUUGAACUUUAGAGAUUUAGAAUCACCAAACCUUAUCUCCAACUUUGAUGAAAGAAGCAAUAUAAUGUCGUAUCAAUUUUUCUAUAUGUUGAGCUUCCUGAGUUGUCUAGCACGAAAAGAGGUAAAAAAGUUAACACUAGAAAAAUUGAGUUUGAACUUACUUACACGCACAUGUUACAUACAAGAAGAUCAAGUAGGGCAUUAGGUCAUACUCUUAAGUCAUUUGUAUUUUUAUUUCAAAAUAGUUCGAUUUGAUUCACUAACAUCAAUAGCUCAACUCAAGUAUGGAUUCCCACCAACCUACUAAUUUAUCCCAAACACGAGUAUGUAUGAUUUUUUCUUUAUGAUAGAACCAUUUAUUAACAACAAAAAUAUUACAACUCUACCAUAAUAAUAGUACUUCAAGCACUUGAUUAAACAAAAUUGGAGAUAUAAUUUCAACUAGAGAUUCUAAUAACAAUUCAAGCACUUCAACAAAAAUCUUUUAAGGGAGAUGUGCAUACAAAAACGCAAGCAGAAAGUACCAACUCUCAAAGUCAGAAAACUAGUUCCUUUAGGUGGUCCUGAAGACUGAUGAACAUCAAUAUAAAAAAUUAUGAGGUGGGGUAACAAACUGUUUGAUAACUUAUGAACAUCAUUAAGAAAAUUAUGAGGUAAUAAUAAAAAGGGAAAAACAAACCUGGACAGAUCCGUUUGGUACGAAAUCACAGGCAUUUGAGCCUCAGCUUGAGUAGUUGGUGUUGUUGCUAUCGCCCUCUAGCCGAGCUGCUGACUUGCUGUCGUUGGUUGGAGCUGCUGGCCUCCUGGGGUUCUGCCGGAGUUGUGGCUGCUGCUGAUGCUGCCGGAUGCUCGCCGAUGGCUGGCUGUUGAUCCUCGCCGGAGUUGGCUGUGGAGAAGAGACGGGAGGGGGAUAGAGGAAGAAAGAAGAGAGGAGGGGAAGAGAGAGGGGUCGCCGGGGCUGCUGCUCGCCGGUGAUCCGUUCGUCGGAGGAGAAGAGGAAAGCAGAGCGAGGGGAGAAGAGAUGAGAGAAAGAGAGAGAUGCGGGCGGAUACAUUUGAGUUAGGGUUUUGAUAUUAUAUUUUUUAGAAUAAUUAAUUUAUCGAUUACGAAAUGUCGAAUAUUUAUUAAAAUAAUUAUCUAUAUUUAAUAAAUAUUAAUAUUGCGAAUUUAAUAUUAUUUAAAUAAAAUAAUAAUUUAAAUAGGUCGGUAUAUAUAUAUAUAUAUAUAAAUAAAAUUAAUAGAAGUUUAAUUUAAUAAAUUUAUUUUGUCGAUCAAGUUAAUUUUAUAAAUAAAUUAUAUUCUUCCUAAUUAUAUAAAUUCAAUAUAAUAUAUAAAUCUCGCCUUAAAUUGAUCAUCAAUAUUCUUUUUAUUGAUGAUGUAUAUCAUAUAUAAUUACUCAAUGUAUUUCAUACUCAGAUGAAGUAUUCUUUAUAUGUCAGUAGAAUUAGGAAGUGAUCACUAUACUUGAUGUACGCUCAAGAUCGAAAGUAUAUAAUCAUACUAUAUCGUAUUUCAUAUUCGAAGUUCACGAUUAGACGACGGACUAAUAGAUUUGUAUAUUACUCUAGAAAUAUAAUUAUAAGUAUAGUUAUAUUAUAUCCUAAUUCAUAACAACGUAGUUUCAUACUCUAAAUAUACGUUACAAAUAUUUUUUUAUUUAUUCCAUAGAGUCUAACUUGUUAUUUCCAAAAAUAUACAAAAUUGUUACACUUUUGAACAAUUAAUUGUAAGUUCAAAUGAAAUUUUAAUAUUAUGCUAAAUAGCAAAAAUUAUGAUUAAUAAAAAUACUUUAAACAAAUCAAUCUUUGUAUGUCGCUUUUAUUGAAAGUAAUUAGAUAUAAUAAAAAAAAUCAACCUCAUGAGACCGGUAUCACAUUAAACUUUAAGAAAAAUAACAAGUAAUCAUGUUAAUUUUAUAUAUAUAUAUAUAUAUAUAUAAAGAGAGGGAGAGAGAGGGAGAGAAGUUUAAUUUUAUAAUCUUAAUUUAUCCAUCAAGUUAAAUCUAAAGUAUACACCUCCUAAUUAUAUAGAUUUAAUUUUAUCGAUCAAGGAAAGUUUAUCAAUAUCAAUUCUAAUAUAUAAAUCUCUUUAAAUUGAUCAUCGAUAUUUAUUUAAUUGAUAAUGUAUUUCAUAUAUAAUUAAUUAACGUUUUUCAUACUCAGAUGAAGUAUUCUUUACAUGUCAUCAUAAUUAGGAAGUGAUCACUAUACUUGACAUACAUUCAAGAUCGAAAGGAUAUAACAAUACUAUCUCGUAUUUCAUACUCGAAUAAAUUAUAUGUUUGUUCUUCACCUCUACAUCAUACCAUGAGAUAUUAAGUUCACGAUUAGACGACAGAUUAACAGAUUUUUGUACAUUACUCUAGAAAUAUAAGUAUAAUUAUAUCUUAAUUCAUAUCAACGUAUUUCAUCCUCUAAAUAUGAAUUAUAUAUUUUUUUUUAAUUUUUCACGAAAUUUAAUUUUUUAUUGAUAAAAUAUACAAAAUUACUACACUUUUUUGAACAAUUAAUUGUAAGUUUCAAAUGAAAUUUUAGUAUUAUACUAAAUAACAAAAAUUAUGAGUAUUAGAAAUAUUUUACACAAACCAACCUCCGGAUGUCGCUUUUAUUAGAAUGAAUUAGAUAACAAAAAAAAUAUCGAUCUCAUGAGGUCGGUAUCACAUUAUAUUUUAAGAAAAAUAAAAGAAAUCAUAUUAAAUAAAUAAUAUUAACAUCGUAAGGUCGGUACAUUAUAUUAGUUUAUUUUUUAACUUAUAUAAAACCGUCAUCCAUAGUAUGAUUUAAAGUUAAUUGCACGAUAUAAAUAUUUAAAUUAGAACUAAUUAAAUUGCAUGAUAUUUAAUUUUACCAAUUUUAAAAGUCGAUAUUAUAAUAUUUUUUUAUUUUUUAAUUUACGCAAAACCGUCCUCAUGAGGUCGAUAUUUAACUGAAAUAACAUCACCGACCUCAUGAGGUCGGUAUUCGGAUGAAGAAAAAAGUACCAACUUAUGAGGUCGGUAUUUGGAUAAAAUAAAAAUACUGACUUCAUAAAGUCAGUAUUUGGAUGAAAUAAAAAUACUGACCUCAUGAUCUCGGUAUUUGGAUAUGGAUGAAAUAAAAAUACUGACCUCAUUAGGUCAGUAUUUAGAUGAAAGAUAAAUACCGAUCUCAUGAAGCCAGUAUUUUAUAUGAAGUAAAAAUACCGACCUCAUGAGGUCGAUAUUUGAAUGAAGAAAAAAUACCGACUUCACGAGGUCGGUAUUUAGAUGAAAUAAAAAUACCGACUUCAUGAUGUCAGUAUUUGGAUGAAAUAAAAAUACUGACCUCAUUAGUUCGGUAUUUAGAUGAAAGAUGAAAGAUAAAUACCGAUCUCAUGAGGUCGGUAUUUAGAUGAACUAAAAAUAUCGACCUCAUAAGGUCGAUAUUUGGAUGAAGAAAAAAUACUUACUUCAUGAGGUCGGUAUUUAGAUGAAAUAAAAAUACUGACUUCAUGAUGUCAGUAUUUGGAUGAAAUAAAAAUACCGAUCUCAUAUAUCGAUAUUUGAAUAUGGAUGAAAUAAAAAUACCGACCUUAUUAGGUCAGUAUUUAGAUGAAAGAUAAAUAACAAUCUCAUGAGGUCGGUAUUUAGAUGAAUUAAAAUUAUCGACCUCAUUAGGUCGAUAUUUCGAUGAAGGAAAAAUAUCGACUUCACGAGGUCGGUAUUUGGAUGAAAUAAAAAUAUCGACUUCAUGAUGUCAGUAUUUGGAUGAAAUACCGACUUCAUGAUGUCAGUAUUUGAAUGAAAUAAAAAAUACCGACCUCAUGAUGUCGGUAUUUGGAUAUUGAUGAAAUAAAAAUACCAAAAAUUUAAUAUGUUUAUUCAUUUAUUUUAUUUAAUAUCGACGUCAAGAAGUCAGUUUUUAUUGCAAUUAAUUUUUUUUUGCGAAAAAUACCGACCGUUUGAGAUCAAAAAAAUUUUCCCUCCUUAUUUUAUCUAAAAACCAACUAGUUUUAUAUUUUUAACAAUACGGACCUACAGAGGUCGAAAAUUACAGACAUCAUUGAGACAGUAAUUUUUAGAUCGAUAUUCGCUAUUUUUUUAGCAGUGAAUAUUGAAGUACAAAUUAUUAAAAAUUUGUAGCUUGACUUAUAAAAACUCUCACUCUCGCUAGUAUUAAUUCUAGCUCAGUUUCACACAACUAAUUUGGUGCUACUCCAUCUAAUUAAUAACUUAAACUAAUAAUAGAAACUCAAGAAAAUUUUAUAAUGCCAUUAACCAUGAACAAGGUCACUAGAUAAUGCCAUUAACAAAAUUGCUGCUUCCUUCUCAUCCUGAGGGAAAACGCGAUGGAUUGCCAAGUUAUUGCUCAAAUUUAUAAAGAAAUCUUCGAAACAGAUCUUCUUCUUUUGUUGCACGUCGUUGUUAUUAUUAUUAUAAAAUGAUGACGAUGAUGAUGAACCAACACGAGGAGCAGGUGUAGGUACAAGUCCAGGUUCAGGUGCAGGAGUAGUAGUACUACUUAAAAAUUUGCACCUUUUCUUGAAGGGUACAACAUGAUUGGCAUUCACUUUUGUUAUUUUGUGCUUUUGUUGUUGUACCUUUAUCUUCAUAGUCGUUGUUGUUGUUGUUUCAGUACUAGUGAAAUUUGUCCCAUUAUUUGGUGUUGUUGAUGCUGCUGCUGCCGCUGCUGCUGCUCUCCUAGCUUUUCUUUGUCGAAUUCCACAUGCAUUACAAAGCGACUGUACCCAAAAAAACAUAAGCGAGUCAGAAACAGAUUUAGAAUUUUAAAUACUUGUUAAAUUUUAGAAACACACUUUAUUGAGUUUGAAAUUAAUUAUUUAUAAAUAUGUAUUAAGAAGUUAUAGUCAAUAAGUACUAAAUGAGUUUAGUUUUUGUGUACUCUUGACAUGAGUUUUUACUUUUUUACAUUAUGUGUUGAAAAUGACCUAUCAAUAAGUCUAUAGUAAUUUAUUUGGUAAUCCAAAAAAUGCAUAAAUCACAUUUCUUUAAUUUAUAUUGUUAGACUCUUUAAAAAGUAAUGUAUUUUUUAGAAAUUCGAUAUAAAUGUGACAAUAUUUUAGGAGAGGUCACAAAUUCAAAUUUCCAAAAUCUUUAAGUUAAGUAUAUUUCUUAAUCCUUUUGUUAGAACUCCUAGUUCCGCAAUAAUUGGUCAGUGUAUAUAAGUUACAACAACAAUUAUAUAUUCUUAAUUAGUGUAAUUUCGCGAGUGCGGAUCUGGGGAGGGUGUUAUGUAUGUAAUUUUGAUCUUACUUUGUGUAGGUAAAAAGUUUAUUACUAAUAGACCCUCGACUCAAGUAAAGCAUAUAUUAGGAAAAAAAAGAGUAGGAAUACUUCAUUUGACUCAUAUACUAAACAACAAUAACAUAUUCAGUAUAACCCUACAAGAGUAAUUUGAGAAGGAUAUUACUGUGUAUGAAAGCUUAUCUCUGUGUUGUAAAUAUAGAGAGACUUUAUCCGAUAAACGCUCGACUCAAAGUAAAACAUAUUAGAAAAAUAUUAAUAAAUUACCUUAGGGCCUUUAGGACCACUUCUCCAAAGAGGGGUUUUAGUAGUGUUGCAAUCAGAACAAACCCUAAUUGGGAUGAUAUUGUUGUUGGAAGAGCUGUUGCUGCUAUAAUCAGUUUCUAUGAUUUGUUGCUUUUGAUCUUCUACUUUCAAAUUCUUCACUUUUUGCCCCCCUUUUUUCCAUAAGGUUAAUUUGAGUCCCUUGUUUUUCUUGUCUACAUGAUCAUGUGAUCCACUUGAUCUUGAAGCAAAAUUAUCAACCUAUAUAUAAAUGAUCCACAAACACUUAAUUUGCAUAUAAAAUAACAUGAUCCAAGUAUUGUACAAAAAUAAACAAAUUAUAUGACCUUCAAAAGAAAAAAAAAAUAAUCGCGAUAGUUAGACACUCUUUCACAAGGACAAUCAAUAAGAUAACGUCUAGACCUCCUUUCUUGUACUUUUACUUUCACAAAUUUAACUUUACUAAAAGAAAUGAUCGAGAAAGUUUUUUUUCUAUCCAACUAAUCAUAACUAGAUAGAAAUAGAAAGCGUCAACUAUGCUUUCUUAGUGACAACACAACUAGAUGUUAAUAUUCAAUUACAAAAAACUGCAAUCUGCGAUCUGAAAUGAAAAUUAAUGAAAGAGAACCCUAUAAUACCUCAUGAUGGUGUUGUGGCUGAUGAAAUUGAUAAUCAUAUCCACUUUGAUCUUGAAUAUUAGUAGUAGUUGAAAUAUUGAAGAAAUUUUGACAAGAUGAAUUUGUAGAUGAUGAAGCGAAUUGAUAGUUAUUAUUAUAAGGGCUAACAAGAGACAUAUUAUUAUUAUUAUGACUUAGAUAAUCAUGAUGAACUUCAUUAGUAAGUUCAAAAGGAAAUGAAGAAGAAGAAGAAGAAUUUGUGUAAUUGGGAAUCAUGGCAAUAAGAAGAGUAAAUUUUGUUUGAUCAAAGAAAAUAUUGUUAACACUAUUUUAAAGAGAAAUUUAAAGGGGGACAAUGUGAAGUAGGGUAAAAAAGAUUCACGUGAUUUGAUGACAAACAAACAAACAAAUAAUUUAAAAGAGACAAAAAAAAAGAAAAAAAAAAGAGUAGUAAUGCUACCACAAAGAUCAAAUGGAUGUGUGAACCCUAUCUACAAAAGUUUCAUGAUUAUUCAUAUUUUUUUUAAUUAAUUAUUAAUAAUAAUUUCAUAAAGUCAAAAUUUAUUGGAAAAUAUUUUAUUUUAAUUAAAUGAAUAAACAAGUACAAUUUUUAGGUGUUUGGACUUUGGACAAAAGGAUAUGUCAACCACACAUAGAAUUUGUCAUGUCUACUCCUCAAUCAUCAAGUGAUCAUCUAACACCUACUCCUAAUUUUCUUUCUCUAAGUGAAGUCUAUUUCACUUCUUAAUUAGGGUUUUGUGCUUUUUUUUUAAAGUACAAUGAUAUUCGAAAUUCACUUGUUCGAUCAAAUUCAUAUUCAUAUUGAUUAUAACAUAGUUCAUCAAAAGGGUAAUAGGUUAUGACGCCGUGAUAAUGAGUUCACGAGUUGAAUCAUGAUUAGAGAAAAACUGAUAGACUUUUAGACUUGUAAGUUUGAAGAAGGAAAUCUAGCAUGAAAAUAGGAAGAGAAAUUAAGGUGAAGAUCGAUAUAAGGCAUAACACAAGUUCAUAAAUGGUACGUAGAUUUUCGGGCUCGAUUAUUUGGUGUAGCCUAAGGAAAAAAUAAGUGGGGAUUGUUGGAUCAAAGCAACAAUUCAUGUCAUGGACUUGAGUUGUGACAAACGUGUCAUUCACGCAAAAAUCUAUCUGGUCUCUUGUUUUUGUCCAUUGACCUCUAAUCUUAUUCAUCUUAUCAUAAUUUUUUCUCGAUAGACGUUAAUUAUUAUUGGAUGAACAUGUAAGAUACAAAUUUAUGUGUGUGAACCAAGAUUAUAUAUAAUAGAUAAAACUUUUUAGGACUUAUCUUAUAUAUGUACACAAAUUGAUUUAUUUUUUUUUAACGUAAUUUGUUCAUUUGUUUAUUUCUUUUAAAUACUUCAUACUACAACAACAACAUCAUGUGCAUGUCAAAUGGUCUAAAAAGAUAGAUUUGCAUGGCAAUAAUUUCAUAUUUUGCCAUAUUAGUAUUGCCAAAAUUUGCAUUGAAUGCUGUGCAGGCUAAGGACAAUAUCAAUUUAAUUUCCUAUGUAUAUUAUUAAUCUCAAAAAUUAUAUAUAUGGUUAAAAAGGUAAAAAGAAAAACUUAUAUCGUUAAUAAAAAGGACUGAUUACGGAAAUCCACCUUUUGGUUUACUUAUUACCAUUAUUCCUUCUUAGUUUUACAAAUUCUAAAAAAAUUUCAUUUUCGCGCAUCACAUCAAUGUAUCUCGCGCAUCAGAUUAGUUUAUCUCGCGCAUCAAGUUAGUAUAUCUCGCGCAUAAUAUUAGUGUAUCAGGUAUCAAAUGUACCUCGCGCAACAAAUUAGUGUAUCAGGUAUAAAAUGUAAUGUAUCUUACUUAAUGAUUAAUGUAUCUCACAUUAGAUUAAUGUAUCAACGCUCAUAUUAUUGUAUCCAUUUUGGGGGAUUUUUGUAAUUAUAAUUUUUUAAGGGAUAGAUUGUAAUUUUGCCUUAAAAGUAUGUGAUUUAUGUAAUUUGCCCUGAGUUUAGAUCGUACAAAUUUACAUAUUCAAUUUAUAAUUCUAAAAGUUUCUGCGACAGGAAUGUUUUCGAUAAAAACUAUCACUUUUUAAGUGGAGGCUCGAUGAUUACUUUCACUUUAUCGAUCUUAAAUUUAAAAAAAAAUGAAAUUCAACGUUAAACACCGUCUUCAACCCCCCCCCCCCCUCCCCCAAAUCAAGAAACAAAAGGCAAAACGGCUAUUUUAAGCCACUGAAAAAUAAUGAAAGCUACCAAGGUCGAAAAGAUUGCAAAAAUCAGUCAUUCACAACCACUGAUGAAGGAUUCCUCGACAAGUAGCUCACAUGAGAAAGAUAUGAUAUUUUCCUUUCAAAAAAUACCUCGAAAUCCACUCUCUAACUCUUCUCCGCAUCCACCCCCCCCCCCCCCCCAAAAAAAAUAGAGAUCAAGUUUAAGAACUAUAAAUAAUAUUGUGAAAAAUAUUUACAUAAUUAGAUCAUUCAUAUGAUUCGAAGUGUUGUGAGAUUGAGUAUAAGGAUUAUAAUGAUAAUUAUUUAUAUAAUCAGAUCAUUUAUGUGAUAUUGAAGCGUAUGUGUGAUUAUCUCAUCUAGAGAACACACAUUUAGUUAGUUUAUUAAUUACUUCAUAUUAUGUCUUAAUACGCACCACACUUGUUAAUCUAAUAAUCUCGUAUUGAUUAAGGGGAUAAUAUGUGACUUAUGAUUUUAUUCAGCGGUGAAAUCAGAACUUUCAUUAAGUUCAUGUGCAAAAAUAUAAGGGAGUAAACAGAAAGAUUAAGAAGUGUUAGUAUUUAGUACUAUAUAACUAUAUAUACGUAUAAAAGGAAUUUUCGCCCAGUUUCACAAUAUAAUUCUCGAUGAAUGAAUGUCGACUGAAUACAUGUUCUAAGUGAUAAAGUCAAGAAUUUCGAAUAAAAUGUGUCAAAACAUAAAUAAUAAAAAUCAUCAAUAUAUAUAUAUACAUAAAAUACUUAUGUAUAAGUAAAUUUCUAUGAUAAAUAUUGCCCUGGUAACAAGAAAUAUGGCAAUAGACAAACUACAAUAUAUUAAUUACACAAUAUUAAUAGUGUGAUUUUUAUUUUAUUUUUUACAUUAUAAGUUGUAUAACUAAAAUCCUGAAUUUGAAUUUACAAGUAUACAACCCCAAAAGCAACUCUAAAGAAUAUGGUAAAAUACAUUAGGAAACCUUUUACUCAAUUAUUUGAUUUAAUGAAUAAUAUGUCUUGAAAUAAUUUUAUAUAAACUAUAUAGUACUUGCAAAUAUUUUCAUAUAUCAUCAUUGGGUUUUGAUGAAUAUAUGUGGGAUUUUUUCGUUUUUUAUUAGAACUUUUGAGUUAGAAAAACUAUGAAUUAAAAGAAUCUCGUAGGAACUAUUGCCUUCGUAAAUGAGCCUUGUAUUUUUUAAAACUUUAAAAAAUUUCUUAUCGGAAUCUCAAGAGUAGAGAAGGAAAAGUCAUUCCGAUUUUCACCCUUUAGCUAUCCAGCGUUAAUUACCGUGGGCAUGAUUAUUGAUACAUUGGAGGUAUGUCCGGGGGCGGACCCAAUAAGCCAGACGCGGGUGCUCGAGCACCCAUUGAUUUCCGAAAUUUUUUGUAUAUAUAUAUAGAAAAUAUGAUACAUAUGUUAUUAUAAUUUAAAUGAGCACCCAUAGAACAAAAGCAGUUGUGGGUGAGCUGGUUUAAACCUCUGCACUAAGAGGCUAGUUUACACCUCUGCAAUAAGAGGCGCGCGAAGCCACUGGCGAGGGUUUGAUUCCCGCCAGUGGCAUUUCUUUUUUAAAAUUUUUUAAAUGUUAAAGGAAGUGAGCAUCCACAACCUUUAAAUCCUGGAUCCGCCACUUGGUAUGUCCUUCCCGAUCCUCUCGUACUUGGAAAAGGCCCUUUAAUUACUAUAACAUCCAUGCUAGAUAUAAACCGAACUAACUUACGACGUUUAUUCAAAAUAAAUAUCAAGCAUCGGGUGAAAUUUUUUUUUAAAAUAGUAUAUAUUUUCAUAUGGAUCUGAGCAUUUUAGGCCCACUGGGCACCCUCUUGCAUUGAUCUGUUACUGUUACUGCCAUAAAAGUAAGGAUAUUUGAGAACUUCUUUUUGUACUCUUACAUCAUUUAAUUUCAUUCUUGUUCUUUUCCUAUGAUAAUUAAAUAUAUAUAUAUAUAUAAUACCUUACUUUAAAAUUAUUAAAAGUACACCAUUGAUUCCUAUGAUAUUUACUCUAAAUUCCUUGGAACAAAACCCUAGAAAAAUCUUUUUGGCUUUUGAUCAUAUGGCCAGAAUGAUAUUUUAUUAAUGUAAUUUACCUUUUUAAAUUUUAAUAUAUUUUGACUGAAAAAUGAAAAAAUUAAUAAUUUAUUUUACAAUAAAAAAAUCUUAUAAUAUUUUUAAUUUUCUGACUAAAUUUUCUGGUAAUUUAGCACUUCUCUAUGUGUAUCCUAUUGCAAUAAGAGUGAAAGAUAAAGAAACGUCGUUAUCGAAGUUAAGUUAUAUAUAUUAGUAGUAUUACUAUAAAAAACUAAUAAAUUCAAUUUAAUCAAUGAGUUAUUACUUUAUUUUUCUGGGUAUAGUAAUUAUACGUUAAUAAAAUUCCGUUUAAAUUGAUAUUUAGUUUCAAUAUUUUCGAUGUAUAAGACUUAAACUCGUAAAGUAUUAAAGGAUUUAAAUAUAUAUUCAUUAAUUAAAAGUGUAGAAAACAUGUUACAUAUUGGUCCUUGUGUUCCUAUUCAAUAUUGAUAAGUCAAUAGUUUUAAAAUUUAAAUUUUGGCUCCAUCAUGUUCUCUUGAAUAUAUAAAAAUUGUGGAUAAAAUUUAUAUCAAUGUAGAUAAAUAUAUUACCUAAAAAAAAAGGUAUUCACUUCAACAAAUAAUUGUAACGACCUGUUUAGUCGUUUUGAGCAGCAGAUUUUAUUUCUGGAAAAACAGGCUGAGACGACGGAACCCACGACGGAACGUCAUGGGCGCGACGGACCGUCGAGGAUGUCUCGUCCCAAAACACUUAGAAAUUUCUGAAAUUUGGGUGCUGAAAUCGACUCUCUGAACUCUGUGACGGACCUGCAGGACGGACCGUCACAGGCACGACGAACCGUCGUGAUCCACCGUUUCAAAACACUUCAACUCUUGAGAAUUUGGUACAGGGAACGAUUCUCUGAACGUCGUGACGGAGUGGCAGGACGAACCGUCGCAGGCUCGACGGCCCGUCACAGGCCAUUCACUUAAAAAUCGAGUUUCUGUAGCAUGUGAAGGACAGCAGGACGGACCGUCGCAGUCACGACGGCCCGUCACGGGCUACGCAAUCCCAGGCUGGGUCGGAUUUCUGUUAAUUUAUUUAAGGGGCGUUUUGGACUAUUUCCUGCUUUAAUUAUAAAGUGGUGGGUUAAUGUUAAUAAGUCUAAUUACUUGGGGGUUAAAAGAGGUAAUUUUAAGUUAACUAGUGGGUUAUUAUUGUCAUCUUUUACACUUAAUUAUAUGUUAAUUAGGGUAAAAGAAAGAGGGUUUGAAUAAGAAAAAUAAGAAAGAACAAAGAGAGACAGAAAAAGAAAGAGAACGAGUAGAGAGAGAGAGAAACGAAGAGGAUAGCAAGGAUUUUGAGAAGAUAGCUUGUUGAUCGCAAUUCCUCGGUGGAGGUAGGUUAUGGUUUUCAUGCUAUUCGUAGUAAACUCUUAAUAGCGAAUGAUAUGUGUUAGUAGUAUUGUGAAUCUUCUAUAUGCUUAAUUGUAUGCAUGCAUGAACGUGAUUAUAUAAUUGUGAUUAUAUUAAGCAUGAUGAAGUUAUUGAAUCCCAAAUCUUGAUAAAAACCUAAUCUCUUUUUAAUGAUGAUGCCUUGGUAAGGGAGAAGGCUUGAUGAACUAAAGUAAUGAGAUUGAUGAUGCCUUGGUAAGGGAGAAGGCUUGAUGAGUUGAUAGAAUGAGAUUAGGGGAUCGGGUGUCACGAACCGACACGUAGAUUUAGGGGAUCGGGUGUCACGAACCGACACGUAGAUUUAGGGGAUCGGGUGUCACGAACCGACACGUAGAAUUAGGGGAUCGGGUGUCACGAACCGACACGUAGAAUUAGGGGAUCGGGUAUCACGAACUGACACGUAGAAUUAGGGGAUCGGGUGUCACGAACCGACACGUAGAUUUAGGGGAUCGGGUGUCACGAACCGACACGUAGAUUUAGGGGAUCGGAGUGUCACGUACCGACACAAGAGGAUUAAUGAAUAUGAGGGAGCGGAGUGUCACGUACCGACACAAGAGAAGUAAAGAUAAUGAAUCUGGAAAGAUGUUAAUAUACUCAAUCUAAUGUACAUAAUUCCCAAAUGAGUAUGGUGUUGAGGCUUGAGUCCUCAUGUGUGAACUUGACGGUAAUUGUUAAUGAUAUAGUACUUGCUGUUGCUACAUUUUGAGUAUCAUAGUUGAUUUUAUGAUAUUACUUGAUAUAUAUUGUUUUCUAUUUUGAGUUGGCCGAUGAUAUCUACUCAGUACCCGUGUUUUGUACUGACCCCUACUUUUAUGUUUUUCUUCUUGUUAUUUGUGGAGUGCAGCAAACGUGCCGUCGUCUUCAACUCAACAGUAAUUCUAGCCAGUCUUCGUCACACCGGAUCUUCAGGGUGAGCUAACGCUUCUAGCUUGGACUGGAUCUUCUCCUUCAUGUCUUGAUGCCUUGAACUUCCGGCAUGGACUAGCUUUUAUUUGUUUUAGCUUUUUAGAAUACUCUUAGUUUAGUCAUUUGAUCAUAGAUGUUCUUGUGGUGAUGACUUCCAGAUUUUGGGGAAUGAUAAGUUUUGAGUUAUAGAAGUUGAUUAUUGAUUUUUAUUAAUGAGUUUAAGUCUUCCGCAUUACUUCAUGUUGAUAUUAUAUUGAAAUGUUAAGGUUUAGAUUGGUUGGUUCGCUCACAUAGGAGGGUAAGUGUGGGUGCCAGUCGCGGCCCGGAUUUGGAUCGUGACAAUAAUAAAUAAUUUAGUGGAGUUAAUAUAAUUUUAAUAUUAUAUUUGUCUGCAAUAAAUAUGUAUAUUUAUAAUCAACACUUUAUAUAAAUGAACGAAAGUGAAAACCUAACACAAUUACCUAAAAAGAAAAUAUAUUGUCACUAAUUUUGAAUAUCUUAACCUCAUCCUUUUUAUCUUUUUUAUAUAUUUACUUAAAAUUCUGAUUUCAACAAUAAUAUUGUGAAUAUAUCAAAAUUAAAUGAUCUCAAUAUAAAUGAAGACUGAAAAAUAUCUCCACCACAUAUAAAUAGAUAAUAUUAAAUAUAUAUAUAUAUAUAUAUAUAUAUAGGAACAGUAAAAUGCAUGAAAAAUGCCACUUAUAUGAUAUAGGAUAUGACAUUAUAUCAAUUGCCUAAAUGGAAAAUUUGGAUAAUAACACUUAAAUAAAACCAAAUGAAAAAAGAAAUACUUUGUCUUUACAUUAGCAAGAUAAUAUAUAUCCUAUUGAUGAGAUAGUUUUAUAAUCACAUAAAUAUAUUUGUAUCAUAAAAUUUUAUAGUUUGAUCUUAUUCAAAGAGAUAAAUCUCAAAUAUUAUAUAGCUAUAUUCGAUCCACAAAAAUUAUGAUUACGAUACACCUGAUCUCACAAUUUUGGUUGAACUCGUUCAUCCUUUUAACUACACAUAAGGAAAAUAAAAUUAAAUGUCUACCACAAAGUGAGAGAAUCCUAUAAUAUGAACUCUCAGAGAUAGAGUCAAAAGUAUAAAUUUUAUAAACAUUGGAUUACAAUUUUAAUAGUUCUUGAGCCCUAAAUCGAUUAUUUAUAUUUUUUUUUAAAGCAUAAAUACAACGUUUAAGCCUGGUUAUGCUGAACUCAUAACUACUACUCUUUCAAAAAUUUUUUCAAACUCAUUCUGAAAAUGAUUUUUCGAGUCCAUGAUCUUUUCAAAACAAUCUCUCUACGAACACUCCAUCCUCUCCAAACCCCAUCGAAUACGUGAUCGUUAUAUUUUAAUCAAUACGAUUAUCGUUUAUCCUUUACAUUUCAUAUUAAAUCAAAAUGCAUUACGUAAAUUUUAACGGAGAAAUCAAUCAAGAGGUGAGGAAUGAAAAGACUAAAAGAUAAGGAAAUUUUUUUUUAUUAUUAUUAUAUAAGAGAAUAAAAUGUAAUUUUAUACGAUGAAUAAAGAUGCUACGUAAGAGGUUUAUAAAUCACAGGCUGUAGGGUGGAGGAGACAGAGAUAGAGACAUUAUGGGUAAAGAAAUGAUCAUAUAAUGUUUUGUCAUAACAUAAUAUAUGUCCAAAUUGAGGUUGUUUUCAUAUUGGUUGCUUCAAAUCUUAGGGGCCAUAGGCAAUUUUUGCUACAUGACAUUUAUGUCCAAUGUCAAAAAAUUAAAAGGUCCCCUUUUUAGUUUUUUUUUUCCUUGUAUCCCCCACACAAAUAUUAUAUGGAGUAUGGUUACGAUACGAUCAUAGCUGAGUCAGAUAAUAAUAAUAGAUUCUUGAUAUGAAGUAAUCUUGAAGUGAUGGAUGCAUUGUGGAAAAAAAGCGGUGUCACAAGACAUUGAUUCAUAGGAAUUAUUUUAGCUUUAAUGAAAUUUAGAUAAAAUUAAGAAGUUUCGAAAGUAAAAUGAAAAUCUUCCUUGAAUUAGCUUUUUUUCUAGGUACAUUAAUUAUAAGAUUACUUUGUUUAAGGAGAUUUCACAAAUAUAUAUAUAUAUAUAUAUAUAUACACACACACAUAUUUUGUCAAAUGUGAAGUCAUAGCAAGAGCGCCUUCCGUGGUGGAUUAGAUGAGGGAGACGGAGUUGAGAUAGAUUAGACAUGUGUGUAUAGAUAUCUAAACGAGGAGGUGUGAGAGGUUGUCUAUGGUGGAUUUUAGGAGGGGUAAAGGUAUAUCAAAGAAGUACUAAGGAGACGUGAUUAGACGUGACAUGACAAAUCUAUAUUUACUGAGAAUAUGAUUCUGGAUAACAGGAUAUGAAGAUUGCGGCUUAGGGUAGAAGAUUAGUAAGUAAUCAUGUUUUCUUUACUAGUAUUCUCAAACUACGUUAUUUUGUUUUCUCUACUUCGGUUAUCUUCUUAUUUAUGGUUGUUAUUAUUUCUAUAUGAACAAUUUCCUCAUUAUUAUAUUUCCUUUUCUUACUAAUUUUCUAUGCUUAAUUAUCUGAACCGAUAAUUUAUCGAAAAAUAACAUCUCUAUCUCUAAAAAAAUAAGGAUAAAAUUGUAUGCAUAUUACUCUCUCAAAAUUUUAUUAAUGAGAUUACAUUAGCAUGUUACUAUUGUUAGGUUUCAAAUUACUAUUUUGUACACAUUGAGUAAAUUUCUUUAUUUCAAAUACAAAAGUUGAAAUAUAAAAAAUAUUAGCUUUCUCUAAAAUUCCUAAGUCAUACUCUAGCUUCGCCUUUGCUUCUUUCACAAUAUAAACUUUUUGACGAAGUAAACUUUUCAGACUAUUUUUUAAUAAAUAUUAAGUUUUAAAUUCGUAAUUUAAAAGGUAUUAUAAUUUUGCUAUAUUUUAAAAUAUUAAAUCGAUCAAAUUUAAAUUCGGAAUACCGUCUCUCUUUUUUAUCGUCAGCCUUUCUAAUCUAUAAAGUUAUAUGGUGGCAGUGGCAGGGUAUUCAGUUCAUGGGCUCAAAGAGGAUAAUUGUAGCAGAAAAUAUUGGA
rnacentral:lncRNA from 1 species